UACAAGCCCCCGACGCCUACUCCUCCGGCGUACAAGCCCCCCACCCCGAGCCCCCCGCCUCCGCCGUACCACCACUAAGAAGAUCCACCACUCUGUCAAGCUGGGAGCCCAGGUACGUGCAAACAACAUCAGUCUACAUUCUUGCAUGGACGCACCAUUUGUUCGAAUAGCACCAACUAACUCAGAGAACGUUUUUGUUUGCAGAAUGCGGUCGAGAAGAGUUGUGCGAGCAGGCCAAGAAGAGCCACGUACGGCGUCGUUGAUCCUCCUCCGGUGUGUGUUGCUGCCGAACUAGGGCCGAUCUCUCAGGAGAUGGAAUAAUGCAGAUGGCUCCCAUUAGUUUAUCUUACCAGCUUAUCAUUUGUGUUCGUCCAGUGUUAGCGUCUGUGUUGCUAGUGUGGCAAUGUGCCCGUGUCACUGUAAAACCAUUGAUCACCACGGAAAUGGAAGUAAAAGGUGUUGUUUCCUGUUGCAUGUAACGUGAUCGCGUCUCUGUUUUGCUGCUCUUCUAUCAUCUUGGCCUAUGGGUGACGUGAUGCGAUGUUUGCAUGUGAGGUUACAUAAAAUAUGUGACAUUGAGUACUACGCUCUGCUCGCACAGGCGCAGCAUGCAUGCCUGCAAGUCCUGCGGCGCAGUGAGCUGUCUUGCCCAAGCUACAGUAUCCCAUACCAGUGUUCUGCAGCAUAUGCCCAUGCGACACUUAAUAAAGAACAGCAAUAGGUCUUUGCCGUCUAGGUGCAUCCCCCAUGCGACACUUAAUAAAGAACGGAAGUAAUAGGUCUUUGCCGUCUUGACACCAAACAUUCAAAAGUGAAUCAAGAAGAAAACUUCCGUUCUCAUACACCCUUCAUACAUCCUAGUACCAAACACAUCUUUACUGUACCUGCACAGGCAUAAUGCUAGUACGUAGCAGAAUAUGCAAUGCGGGGCGGGUGAUCUGUUCUUUACUUCUAUUGGCCAUGGGUUGGUGCAAACUUACAAUCAAUUGGGUCAGUGUGAAACCUCGGCUGCUGGGGGUUCCAGUAAUAGCAUGCAUGAUGCCAACAGGUCUGACCGUAAUGAAUCGGAGGAGCCAGGUGAAAGAAGACAAGAAGAACAGUUGGCACAAUAAAUUAACUUGACAUGCUGACGAUGUGCUUUAUACAAAUCUUAUUUCCUUUCGACGUGCUAAAUAUGGCAAUCAAUCUCACAGAUAUGAAAACUUUGAUAUUUUGGUAUGCAUGAUUUGGAAAACAAAUGGAGCAGCAGACUGUUCUUAAAAAAAAGGGUUACAUUCAUUGUUACAUGAGUGAGAAUAUGGAAGUUUAUUUCAUUUUAUUAUUUUCUACUGGAGACUUCUCAUUGAGUUUGAAGUUUAAAUUCUGGUCUUAGGAUCGAUGUCACCGUUUUCCAAAUAGGAACAGUAUGGACAAAAUGAAGUAGUCCACCUUUCGUGCCUGCCUGUUCACACGUACUUCAUGGGUUUUCUUGGCCACAUGGGCAUGUCGAUUGGUGUCAGAGAUCCGUGGAUUUUACUUGAGGCCACCAUACUGUCAGCGACACGAAAAGGCACAAAACAUGCAAGAUAAAAGCUGGAGGAGAAAAGCAAGCGCGCGAACCAAGAAAGGCAAAUUAUUUUCACGGAAAUGAUGCUGCCCACAACUUCACAAGGAAAGUGGUUUUGCAAUGUCGUUCGUUUUUCGCUCGCGAGAAAUUCCUCACCUUCCCGAAACCAGGACAGAAGUUCACAAGAUGGCAAAGAUGGAAGGAAGGCUAGAGGACUUGAUUAUGAGUAGCAUGACUCUCCUCUAUUGUAACCAUUGUUCAACUAUCAAGGAGAUAAAAGGACCAUGUGCGAGCGGGCGAACAUGAGGAAAGACGCAGGAGGGCACUAGCAUGGAUUUGGUAGGUUCCUGUUGGACGUUAGCACGUUGUUUUGCUCAAGCAUUGACUUGAUACUACCAAAUGCAUCGUUUGAUAAUCAGGAUUUAGGCCUAUGUAGCACUCUAGCACAAGAAAGAAAACCAGCCACUACUCUCAAGACGAGGGCACGACAAACAAAACACUGGCGCUUGUAAGCUUACCGCGGCCUAUGAUUCUUUUUCUUUUUUAAUAAUAAAGAAACAAAAGGACGGCUCAUUUUAGGUAACUUGGUGUUACGAACCUGAACUUCCUUCAUGUACUCCCUUCAUUUUUGUAUACAAGGCCAUAAACUCAUAUUACAGAUACCAAGGCAAAAGUUAAUGUCUUCUAAGUCAAUGUUGCAAGUCAGCUUGUCUUUUUGUUUACCGUGUAAAUUAAUGUGUAUUCUUCUCUUUCAUGCACAUCAAACCAAUUCUCCCACUUCUGCAUGCGAGUACUAAGUAAAAGGGGAAAGAAACUGGUCGAGAGCCACCCCCAUUAGGGUUUUGAGGCAACACGGUGUGCAGAGCAGCUGGCCAAGGAGAUGGACACUGGACAUUGCUGUUCACAAGCGUGACGGAACCAGAAGGAUCCAGAAAAGCUACUGUAGGAGUAGAAAACAAGUGCUGGAUGGCUCAAAGUACGGAUCAGAACCGGGGCCAUACGAGCUUCUGCCAAGUGAGGCCCAUGAGGAUGAGGUUGUGGAACCCGCUUGCCACACUGAUACGAAACGUCCUUGAUGGAGCCCGGCCUCCAUUGAUCAUUUUUCGGCAGCAACCUUCAUUCACUCCUUCAUCCGGGAAAAACUCGGAAGGAGGAGUCGCGUGCGGUGCAGCAACAUUCAUUCCCUGUGCGCCCUGCUCCUGCUCUAUGAGCAAAAGGCUGAACAAAUUGAAAGCGUAUGAACAGAGCCAAGGAGCAUCAUCAAUUCAGUCACCUGAUUCACGUCGUCGGCAACUGCGCCCGCCGCUGACAAGCAGCAUCGGCAGUUGGGCCCGGGCUUUGACCGGCAAGCAAGGCGCAAAGCAACGAGAAAACCGGGGCGAGAGGGGCACAUGCAGACGCAUGAGCAAUUGAUUAUGGGAGUGCGAUGCGGAGAAUGAAACAAGUUCCCCAAAAGAAAAUGAAAACAAGAGAAAAAUAGUGACACAAGUUGAUGAGGCCGGCGAGCGCGAGAAUGGCGACAACCAAUUACAGAGAGUUCGGAGGGACUGUGCUCCCUUGGCUCCACGCUGCAAAUGGGCCACAAAAUGGCGAAGCUACGACGAGACUUCCGGCGACCACAGUCCACGCCAUGGAGCACGCACGUUUUUUUUUAACUACACGUCUUCGGUUUCUAGCACUUCUAGACUAUUCGCGACGUUUUCUAUUCCAGACUGAUUGCCCGUUUCCCUGUUCAUUUGCGUCUGGUUCCUUCCGUGAUCCAUCCGAUCCAAGGCGAGAUCAUGGAUGGUCCCAACUGCCGACCAAGCUUAACAUAAAGAAGGCUUUUGAUUCGGUGCGUUGGGAUUACUUGAUGGAUUUGCUGCGUCACCAUGGCUUCCCAAGUCGCUUCAGGGAUUGGAUCUCUGCCCUUCUUUCCUCGGCAUCUUCGCGUGUGUUGUUCAAUGGUAUUGCCGGUGACCCAAUUCGGGAUGGUCGGGGCCUUCGUCAAGCGGACCCUCUCUCCCCGUUGCUAUUUGUGCUCGCCAUUGACCCGUUGCACCACAUCCUUGCGAAGGCGACUUCUCAAGGUCAUCUUCAACCACUCAGAGGUCGACCCAUCCGUGCGUCGCUUUAUGCCGAUGACGCUGCCAUUUUCAUUGCCCCAAUAAAAAAUGACAUUCAGUUCCUGGCUUCAACUCUUGUAUCCUUUGGUGAUGCUACAGGAUUGGUCACUAAUUGUGCCAAAAGUGUAGUUGCGCCCAUUUGCUGCGGUAACAUUGACCUUGAUAACGUCCUGCAAGCCUUCCCAGCGGUUCGCUCCACCUUUCCUAUGAGAUAUUUGUGGCUUCCCCUUUCGGUUUCAAGGCUUAAGAGGAUUCACUUUCAGUUCUUAGAAGAUAAAGUUGCGGGGAAACUACCACCUUGGGUUGCCAAACAUGUGGCCGUGCCAGGCCGGGUUGUCUUGGUCAAGGCAGUGCUUACCGCCAUUGUUAUAUAUCAUAUCACGCCCCUGGAAUUGCCGGUGGAAGUGAGGAAGAAGAUUGAUAGCUUGCGGCGUGCCUAUCUUUGGGCGGGUUGCGAUAAAGUGACCGGCGGAAAAUGUAAGGUCAACUGGGAUCUCGUCUGCAAGCCCAAGAUCUUCGGUGGUUUGGGCAUCCUCAACNNNNNNNNNNNNNNNNNNNNNNNNNNNNNNNNNNNNNNNNNNNNNNNNNNNNNNNNNNNNNNNNNNNNNNNNNNNNNNNNNNNNNNNNNNNNNNNNNNNNNNNNNNNNNNNNNNNNNNNNNNNNNNNNNNNNNNNNNNNNNNNNNNNNNNNNNNNNNNNNNNNNNNNNNNNNNNNNNNNNNNNNNNNNNNNNNNNNNNNNNNNNNNNNNNNNNNNNNNNNNNNNNNNNNNNNNNNNNNNNNNNNNNNNNNNNNNNNNNNNNNNNNNNNNNNNNNNNNNNNNNNNNNNNNNNNNNNNNNNNNNNNNNNNNNNNNNNNNNNNNNNNNNNNNNNNNNNNNNNNNNNNNNNNNNNNNNNNNNNNNNNGAUGAUAGAGACCUGUUUGCGGCAGCCACCACAGUUAGUGUUGGAAACGGAUGUAAGGCGAAGUUCUGGGAAUCAUCUUGGCUGAACGGCAUGAGACCCAAAGAUAUUGCCCCAAAGAUAUUUGACCUCUCAAAAAAGAAAUCUACCUCGGUCCAAAAAGCUCUCCUCAACAAUCAUUGGGUUAGUCAGAUUGAUACCCAUCAUGGGCUCACCAUGGAGCAUAUUCAGGAGUUCGCCUUGCUAUGAGAAAAGCUAUCCUCUGUUACUCUCGACAAUGUUGUGCAUGAUACUAUCCUAUGAAAGUUCACGUCUCAUGGAGAAUACUCGGCGUCGACGGCCUAUAUAGCGCAGUUUGCGGGACACACGACAAGCAUCAUGCCUGCUGCUGUUUGGAAGGGUUGGGCCCCUCCGAAAUGCAAAUUUUUUGCUUGGUUGAUAAUUCAAAACAGAGUUUGGACAGCUGAUCGAUUGCACCGUCGUGGAUGGCCGAACUGCAACCUCUGCCCGCUUUGCAAGCAAGUCCAGGAAACCGCAGCACACCUUCUCUUCCAAUGCAGGUUCUCCCAGCGUGUCUGGAUCGAGGUUGCAACAUGGCUUGGUAUACAUGGUGAUGUGGUGAGGAGCUGGCGAAAUGAGGUUUCGGUUCGAGAAUGGUGGAUUAAAAAUGUGGUUGAGCGUGGAGAUAAGAGAAAGGCUAUCGCCUCCUUGUUCAUGCUCAUGUCUUGGGAGAUUUGGAAAGAGCGUAAUGGAAGGGUUUUCCGUAACAUCGCCGCUACGACGAUGAUGCUCAUCGCGAAGAUAAAAGAGGAGGCCCAUCUUUGGGCUAUUGCCGGUGCCACCCACUUGAGUAUUGUAAUGCCGCGAGAGUAGAUAUUUGUCUCCCACUUUGCGGUCGUUUGUCUUAAACCUUCUCCCUUAAUCAAUGAAAAUGGCAAAUCUUUUGCCUUGUUUCAAAAAAAAAAAAAACUGCCGACAAGGCUACGAUGUUCGCGCACUGGAUGGGCGUGUGCAGUGCCGCCGAUGAGUACCGUACCGACGAACGGCCCAACGUGAUUCGCUCGCCUCGAUCUAUUGCUUGUUGCACAGAUGCACUGAUGGGCACACACCAUUGUUCCCUGGAAAGAAAGAUGGCGCCCAUCUGCUCCAACGCUGCACUUUGACAGAGAUCAGUCACCAAGCACACAUGCAUCCACGAGGCAAGUGAUUCCGGCGGUGCGAUUUGCCUAAUCGUUCGGUUCCGAAAGCUUGAUGCGUGAUGCAUGCAUCGUGCACACGGAAAGAAACAUCUUUCGCUUUACUCCGGCCGUGUGACCGUGGCUGCACACACAACUGGCUAAGAAGACACUAUAGGGUGGGUGGAUCGGUGCUAGUCUAGCUAAGACACGCCCUGAUGCAAGGUUUAGGAAACGGGUGCAGAUCUCGCUGUCGUGGGAAUGCCCAGAUCUACCUAAACCAUCGCUUAGCUUUACCUGUAUCUUUUUCGGUUGACCGUGCCAGCAGAGGAUGCUGUUUUCAUGAGGGGUUUGUCCUGUUCCGCCUAAUCUUAACCAGACAUCUACCGCACAUCACAUGGCUUGAAGCAUAGCCAUUUAGUACAAUGGGACAGUAUGCUUUUUUUUGACAUGGACAGCGUUGCAGGAGCAGGUAGAAAUUUUGUCUCGUAAGAAAACUGCCCUUGGUGGAUCUGGAAGGCCUUAAAUUACGGUUCUAAUGUUUCCUCUUACUAAUUUGGAUCAAACCAGAAUUGACAGUGUGCUUCGUCCAACAGAUGAACUAGUGCUGCUUUUUAACACUGAACUACUGUUGCUUAAACCGCUGUGAUCACCAUCUUCCAAACUGCAUAAUAAGGCCCUCCACUGUGUAGGCCAAAAGUGGUGCCAAAUACACUUUUGGUUCAUUUGGCACCGAUGCCCUCCAUUGCCCAGCCGAUGCCAUAAUAUUUUUCCAGGGAACCGGAGCAUGUUGCUGCACCGAUGCCCACUUCUAGUAUUGCAAUAAAAUAUGUUAAACUGUGAAGGAUCAAGGGGAUGUGAUAGAGGAGGACUAGAGAACUUGUACGAAGGAUUGAGGGAAAGUUGGCUUGCUCCAUUUUUUAUGUAUACAUGUGGUCCGACUUUUCUAUGGGCUGCAAAGGCACAUAGUGUGACCGGUGCCAUAGAAAUUUCUCAGAGCAUCGAUGCCCAAUCUGUAAUAUUUUAAUGUACCGGGCACCGAUCACAUAGUGGAAGGCCUAACAGGAGUCAAACGCAAAUUCUUGUCUGCCCACCCGACGUCUUUUGCGUGGAUUGGUUUCGCCCAGACUACCGAUAAAGGACUCCCGCUGUCCUGUGUCCGGAGAGAAUUCUUCCGUCCCAAGACCUACCAUGUCAAAGCCCACCCUGUGUAGUUUGGUCCAAGCAACCCCACCCACACCCGCCAAGACAAACAAGUCUUGUAAGGUCCAAGCCAAUUAGAAUACCAGUGCUGUUCUUUUUUGUUAGAAUUCUACUGUCGAAAACUAGACUAGUUGACUAAGAAUUAGAUUCUCAAAAAAAAGUUGACUAAGAAUUAAGGUCCAUAAUAUUUAUGCUAACACUUGCAAAGAGUAAGCCGAAGAUAACUAACACGCAAAAAGGAUUACUGAACUAUGAAUUUUCUUCACGAAUAAGAGGUUUUUUGGAGAUAUGUCGAUAAAACCACCUUUUCCCCGAAAAAGAAGACAUUACUACUUGACACAAGGAUGAGAAACCACAUAUUUUAAUAUACAGAUGAAAAAUAAAGAUAAUUUAUAGUAACUAAUCAAGAUUCCAAUGUGAGGUUGGGAGGUCUGAUUUGAGGUAAACAUGGUCGCAAGGAGGCAUGCCAGUUUUUUUAUACAUGCAAAGCUUCUAAAUAAAUCAAGGUAUCUGCUAUGUCAUUGGACUGCUAGGACAUCUCUAGCAGAUUCCUCAUCCUGUAAUCUCAAAUCUUACCUUCUUUAAAAAAAAAUAGGACGGUUAAACUCUUUUCCCCAUCUAGCAGACCCCCCAAGCUUAAUCCCCCAAACACACUUCACCCCACAUGGCAGCCUCUCUUCACCUUAUUCUUCCUUCUUCCUUUGACAUGGCCAACGACCACUUCUCGCCACUGGAUGAUGCAGAUGAGCUAGCUAUGAACUAGGAUAGAUGCUCCGCAAAAGUACUUGAUAGAGGAUCGCCGUGCGCGAUGUAAGCGUUCGAUGAAGUAGUCGUGAAAGUAGGAGAAAUUCAUCCUCCAUGGGACAUGGUAUGGGUGUUUCUUCUUCUGAACGACUUCUUCCCCUCACUCUCCUAGUGUCUAGAUGGCGCGGUCCGGAAUACAAGAAUUCAUUGGAAUCAGUCUUGGCGGUCGGCGACCACUUUUAGGUGAGCAUUUUCUAUGUAAGUGUUGCUCCACAUAUGGUGCAUCUUUGCUCGUGGUCGAGGAUGACGGGAAGGAGCACCGUAAAAAAGUGUCAUCGUCGGCCGAACAUGACGUGAAAGAAAAAGAAUGAAGAAAAAAGUUCGCCGAAGACAUGGGGGAGGUAGGGUUGUGGGGAGGCACCACGACCUGCAGGGUGGGUCCGUGGGUAGCCAACGGCUAGGUGUGCGGGUGAGGCAGUGGCUACGGGAGGCAUGAGUUAUGUCCCUACUUUUGCCGAGGAUGCCAUUUUCUAGGAAAAAAAUAGGCCAGAGAGAAAACUAUGUUUUUGAGUAACUAAAGGUUUGUGGGAUCCGAUAGCUAGUAAGUCUCGGUUAUGAAACUCGUAAUUUUUCUUCAUACACACAGGCAAUAGCAGCGGCACCCUUCCAUCAAAGGCAAACGGAGUGGAGGGUACACCUGUGCUACACCCUUCACGAGUGAAGAGGCGGCACCUGCAGGUGUGCGAGUGGCCACGACGGCGAAGCAUAGGACGCAUUUGGUAGCCUGCAUUAGGCCUAGGCAGGCACGCGCAUGAUAAAAAUGGGCUGUUUGGAUGCUUGUGUUUACUGUUUGGCCCGCAUAGCACGAACCUCAAAGCACCCCUCAGCCUGGCCCGCUAGGAACGGCCGAAUCGACCAUUUCUAGCGAGCCAGGCUCGAGCGAUGCAGGGGAGGGGAAGGCCGUACUGUGCCGCGCAGCGUAGGGGAGGGAGAUGGCGGGAGCGAUGGCGCAUCUUCAAAAAAGCGGCGGAACGAAUUCGAGUCAACGCCCGUGGAUUCGGUCGCCCGUGAAUUCGAGCAAUCAUAGAAGACUAUAUGAUGGUUGAGUAUGUGGAGCUCUUACUUAGACUCUAUUGAAUAAGUUGAAUUGCAAUUGUUUGGUGACUAAGAAUAUAGGUUGUUGAGUUUCAAGAGAAUUUAUUGUUUGAACCUUAACAUGUGAAUCGGUUGCUACUUUGUGAUGAUGAGUUUUAUGAGAAAGAAUUGCUAUUAUGAUGCUAGGAAAAGUGAUUGAAAUUAUCAUUGAUCAAACUUAUGCACUUUGCUAGCAUUCACACUUCAUAAAUUAUUUCUUUUAUCAUUUACCUACUCGAGGACGAGUAGGAAUUAAGCUUAGGGAUACUGAUACGUCUCCAACCUAUCUAUAAUUUAUGAAGUAUUCAUGCUGUUAUAUUAUCAUUCUUGGAUGGUUUACGAAUAUUUUAUAGCAACUUUAUAUCAUUUUUUGGGACUAAACUAUUGGCCCAGCGCCCAGUGCCAGUUGUUGUUUUUUCUUGUUUUUUACAUCGUAGGAAAUCAAUAUCAAACGGAGUCCAAAUGCAGUAAAACUUUUUGGAGAUUUUUUUGGACCAGAAGACAUCCAGUGGGCCAGAGAAGCACCUGGGGGGCGAGGGGGCACAACCCACCAGGGCGCGCCUGGGGGCCCAGGCGCGCCUAGGUGGGUUGUGCCCACCUCGGUGGCCUCCCGCACCCCCUGUUCGACCUAUAAAUUGUCAAAUAUUCCAAAAACCCUCGGGGUUAACCUGGAUCGGAAGUUCCUCCACCACAAGCCUCUGUAUCCACGAAAACCAAUCUAGACCCUGUUCUGGCACCCUACCGGAGGGGGAGAUCAUCUCCGGUGGCCAUAUUCAACAUCCCGACGGCCACCAUGAUGAGGAGCGAGUAGUCCACCCUUGGGGCUGAGGGUUUGUACCAGUAGCUAUGUGUUUAAUCUCUCUCUCUCUCUCUCUCUCUCUCUCUCUCUCUCUCUCGUGUUCUUGAGAUGUCACGAUCUUGAUGUAUCGCGGGCUUUGUUAAUAUAGUUGGAUCAUAUGGUGUUUUCCCCUCUUUAUCUUGUUGUGAUGAAUUGAGUUUUCCCUUUGAGAUUUUGUUUUAUCAGAUUGAAUACUUUUAUGGAUUUGAGAACACUUGAUAUAUGUUUUGCAUAUGAAUACUCGUGGUGACAAUGGGGUAUCAUAUUGAUCUACUUGAUAUAUGUUUUGGCACUCAACUCGUGGAUUCCCGAGGUGACAUUGGGGUAAUCUAUUGUAGGAUCGAAAGUAUGUCUAGAGGGGGGUGAUUAGACUACUUGACCAAGUAAAAAUCUAGCCUUUUCCCAAUUUUAAGUCUUGGCAGAUUUUAGCAACUUAGCACAAGUCAAGCAAUCAACCUACACAUGCAAGUCUAAGAGUAUAGCAGUGGAAUGUAAAAACAUUGCACAUGAAGGUAAAGGGGGGAGUUUAAGGGAGCAAACGCAAUGUAGACACGGAGAUUUUUGGUGUGGUUCCGAUAGGUGGUGCUAUCGUACAUCCACGUUGAUGGAGAAUUCAGCCACGAAGGGUAACAGCUGCGAGAGUCCACGGAGGGCUCCACCCACGAAGGGUCCAUGAAGAAGCAACCUUGUCUAUCCCACCAUGGCCAUCGCCCAUGAAGGACUUGCCUCGCUAGGGUAGAUCUUCACGAAGUAGGCGACCUCCUUGCCCGUACAAACUCCUUGGUUCAACUCCACAAUCUUGUCGGAGGCUCCCAAGUGACACUUAACCAAUCUAGGAGACACCACUCUCCAAAUGGUAAUAGAUGGUGUGUUGAUGAUGAACUCAUUGCUCUUGUGCUUCAAAUGAUAGUCUCACCAACACUCAACUCUCUCUCACGGAUUUGGAUUUGCUGGAAAGAUGAUUUGAGUGGAAAUCAACUUGGGGAAGGCUAGAGAUCAAGAUUCUUGUAGUUGGAUUGUAAUAUCUUGGUCUCAACACAUGAGUAGGUGAUUCUCUCAGAAAAUGUAUGAUGGAAGUGUAGGCAUGUUCUGAUAGCUCUCUCCACGAAUGAAGAGUGGGUGGAGGGGUAUAUAUAGCCUCCACAGAAAAUCUAACAGUUACACAUAGUUUACCAAACUCGGUGGGACCGAAUCAUGAAACUCGGUCGGACCGAUUUAGUUCAAAAUGUGAACGUUAGGAUUUUCGGUGGGACCGACAUGUCAACUCGGUGGGAACGAUUUCAUUAAGGUUAGGGCAUAACGUAAUCUCGGUUAGACCGAUCACAUAAACUCGGUGGGACAGAUUUCUGUAAUAGGAAAACACAGAGUUGGUCAGGAAAACUCGGUGGGACCGAUUCGCUCAUUUCGGUGAGACCGAAACGUUAAGAAAAGGAAAGAGAGAGUUUGCAUUGCAAACUCGGUGUACGUGGGACCGAUCGCUCGUCUCGGUUGGACCGAAACGUUACGAAGGGAAACAGAGAGUUUGCAAUCCCAUCUCGGUGAGACCGAGAUCCCUAUCGGUGAGACCGAAUUGACUAGGGUUUCUGGCAGUGGCUAUGUCAAGUGAACUCGAUGGCGCCAGAUAGAUCAAAUCGGUUGGGCCGAGUUUGACUUUUGGUUUGGGACAUAAGUGGAUAUGAGAAAGUUGUUGAGGGCUUUUGGAGCAUAUCACUAAGCAUUUUGAGCAAGCAAGCUAUUAAGCAACACCUCAUCCCCUUUUAAUAGUAUUGGCUUUUCCAAUGGACUCAAUGUGAUCUUGGAUCACUAAAAUGAAAAUGUAGAGUCUUGAGCUUGAGACAAUAUGUGUCCUUAGCAUUUUGAGGGGUCCACAUUCCUUGUCCAUGCCAUGUCAAUCAUUGAACUUUCUGAAAUGAUCAUCUUGAAAGAGCAUUAGUUCAAUGAGCUAUAUGUUGUUAGGAAUUACCAAAACCACCCAGGAAUAAUUGCACUUUCAAUCUCCCCCUGUUUGGUAACUGAUGACAACAUAUAUAUCAAAGAUUUGUUAAAUGAUAAUAAGAAUGUAAUACAUCGUCGCUUUGAGAAGUAUGUGAUAUGCAAGAGCUCCCCCUAAAUUUGUGCAUUAUUGAAAAUUUGCUUUUGAAUGCAAAUGCACAAUCAAUUAGGAUCAUGGUUACUCUUCCAUGUCACAUACAUCUUGGUGGAGCGCUCAAAAUGAUAGAGUAAAAAUAUGCACUCAUCACCAAGGCAAAGUGAAUGAUCAUACAUGAGAGAUAAAAGAUAACAUCAUUCAAGCAAGCAUUAAGGUAUGAUAUGACCAAACACCUGAUCAUACAAGUAUCUCACACACAUAGACAUAGAGAAUUAAGCAAGUACACAAAAGUAUCAACCAAAUAGCAAAAGAGACAAAAGAGGCAAAACACUCUCUCUCGAAGCCUAUGAUCUAUACAUUUCUCCCCCUUUGGCAACACGUUACCAAUUUUUUUGGAAAUGCAUAGUGCUAUGCGUCUCUCUAGGCUUGAUCUUUGGGAGGUGGUGUUGAGAUGACUCCAAGGACGAAUGCAUCUGUUGAAGUUGAUGGAGUUGGUGGAGUUGCAACUGGAGGUGGCACUGAUUCUGUGGCUCCAGGUGCUGAUGAAGUUGCUUUAGUGUCAGCCAUGGGCGCUGCAGCAGAUCUCUGACCUCUUGGCACUCUUUGAAAGGCAUCUGUGGUAGCCUGCCCUUUCCUCUCCUCAGCUUCUUCUUGGAGCUGCUCCACUACUGUCGGCGUCCUGGAUAUGGGGGUAUCCAACCCUGCCUGCCUGCGGCCCACCACGUGGCUCCAUCGACGACCUGGUACGGCCCAGCUUCAGCAUCAACAGCACAAGACCCUCGCGAGGGGCCAAGCCGUGCGAGGCGGACGACGCCAAGAUCCCCGAGGGGAUCGGCCUCCUCAGGCUGGCUCCAGAGGAGCGGAGAGUUCUAUGCAAGGUUUACCUCACGAGGCUCAGCUGAUGUAAGCCAUGACAACCAAGGCCAGGCGGGCGCAGAGCGCGGGUUUCCUCUUCGGUGUAAAGGAGGUAAGCCACAGGCGUGGAGUCCCAAGGAAUCAGCCAAAGGUUUCCAUUCUGGUGCAAUGAGACCAAGACCGCCAGGACGACAGGACAGAGGUCAUCGAUGAGCCCAGCACCGCGUCACAACCAGAGGCUUUUCGCAGGCGAAGACUACUUUUUUCAGGAUAAACUGUACUACUUGUCCCCUUUCAAAUCCGGCCAUUGUGGGAUCCCUUCCCGCCAACAUUUGAGAAGAGGACCACGACCACUAUAAAUAGUACUAGCCACCACCGUAGAGGCAAGACAAGCCGAACUAGCUCACACCACACCAGCUCCCGCGAGCUCAAGAACACCUCACCUCUUGAGGCCAGUUCAUCCAUUGUACUAGUUCAUCCUCAGCCCUCUGAGGCAAUCCACCAAAACACUGGAGUAGGAUAUUACACCACAAGGUGUCCCGAACCAGGAUAAGCUGUUGUGUCCCUUUGUCCCUUUGAGCUCGACGCGCUAGACUUAGGAGAAUCGCGAGUAGGCAGGCUGGGUUGGUUGAGAUAUCCACACGCACCCCAGAGUUCGAACCUCUCAAGGGUUUGCGUAUCCCUUAAUCCGACAUUUGGCACACCAGGUAGGGGUGCGUCGGAUCUUCUCUUCCGUCGAUCGAUCCACGGCCACUCCGACACCUCCAUGGCUGACGCACGCCGAGCUCGCAUCGAGCAUCGGGCCGCAGUCGCCGCCCGCGUCGCUCAGACAACUCCGGCGGGCGAUGGUUGUGCCCGUCACGCUCCAUCUCUGGUGGCCAAUGCCGCCAUGGGCCCUGCCGGCCACGAGCAGCAAGCUUCAUCACUGCACCCGUCGGUGUGCCGUGACGGGUGCACCGCCACUCCAACACUCACCCAGCAGCUUCAUCCUCCCACGCGUGUCGUGGCUAGGCGGACGCGCAGGCCGCUCUGCUCAUGGCGCGAGAGCUCCUUCGCUACAGCCCGGUCAGUGACCUCUACGAGGAGUGGCUCGAGCGGAUCGCUGAGCUCGUCAGCGUCGCGCACGGGGCUCCUCCACCACCUCCGCCCCAGGGCGCCAUCAUCGAGCCAAGGCGUGUGGCGCCAUGGCGCGACCCAUCGCGCCCUGCGCCAGCUCAGGAGGACGUGAGCUGCCAGGUGGUGCAGCGACCACAAGGAGAACCGCGAGUGCUUCCAGCACCCCAGCACUAGGCCCGCGUACCGCCGUAGGAGGUGGCGGUGCGCGUGCACCAGGACCAGUUUCCACCCCCUCAACAACCUCCAGUGGCCACGACAGGAUGUCGCGCAUUCACCCCGGAGCUCUGCAACGUCAUCUGGCCGAGCAAGUUCAAGCCUGACCUGCCUCCACGCUACGACGACCCUGCCGAGUUCCUGCAGCUCUACGAGCUGAGCAUUGAGGCGGCCAGCGGCGACGAGAAGAUCAUGGCAAACUGGUUCCCGAUGGCCCUCAAGGAUGGCGCGCGUUCUUGGCUCCUGAACCUACCCGAGGGGUCGGUUUCUUCCUGGGAGGAGAUGCGCGACCGCUUCAUCGCCAACUUCCAGGGCACUCAUGAUUGUCCGCCGGCCGUGGGUGACCCGCGUCGCAUCAAGCAGCAACCUGGGGAGACCCUGCAGAACUAUAUCCAACACUUCAACAACGUUCGCCUCAAGAUCACCAAGGUGUCGGACGAGGCCAUCAUUUUGGCGUUCACUGACAGCAUCCACGAUGUCAAGAUGAAGGAGGAGCUCUCCGUCCAUGAGGAUCUUUGCACAGCCCUAGAGAUGUUCAACAUGCGAACAAGUGCACGAGGGCUGAGGAGGGGCGCCUCUCCCUCCUCGAGCUCCCCGAUGCUGAUCCAGAAGACAAGAAGGCCAAGACCAAAGACAUGAAGCGCAAGGGGCCGGCCGUGUUUGCGGCUGAACCAGAGAUGAAGCGCGGUUGCGACCACCUCGAGUCAUCCAAGAGCAAUCGGCCAUUCUGCGUCUUCCACAACGUUCACAGCCACAACACCAACGACUGCCAGGAGCUCAGAGCCCUCCACGACGGACGCCUCGGUCGACGCCCCAAGCGCAACGAUCGAGGCUACGGUCAUGAAGGUGGCCGAGGAGGAGGACGCUGGGACGGACACGGCCAUCGUUAGGACUGGUGCGACCAGCCUCGUGAGGACCGCUGGCAGGGCCAGCCUCGCGAGGGCGCCUGGAGGGAGCAGCCUCAUGAGGAAUGCCCUCAGGGCAACAUAGCUCUGCCUCCUCUGCCUCCACCGCCAAGAAGGAACGAGGAUCACCACCAGGACGAGGGGGCUAGGGGCUUCCAGGAGCCUCGAGCCAUUGCCUGCAUCUUGGGAGGCUCACAAGCCCUGGCUUCCCACCGCAUCUUCAAGCAGUUCAGGCGCGAGGUGAACGCGGCGUUCCCCAAGCCCGAGGCAACUCGCCCUCUUAGGUGGUCCAAGUGCGCCAUCACCUUCAACUCCUCAGACCAGCUCAAGUACGCGGCCACUGCUGGCACGCUCCCUAUGCUCUGCUCCCCGUCAUCAGUAACGUGGUCGUUACAAAGACUCUCAUUCAUGGCGGAGCAGGUCUCAAUGUUCUGUCUGUUCAGACGUUCGUCAGGCUCCAAGUGCCAUACUACUAGCUUCACCCAACCAAGCCAUUUUCAGGAGUGACCGACGGUUCUACACACUCGAUAGGGCAGGUUCACCUCCCUGUCACCUUCGGCGAGUGCAACAACUACCACACCGAUCUCAUCGACUUCGACGUCGCCGACAUCCGCCUGCCCUACAACGCCAUCCUAGGGUACUCAGCACUGGCCAAGUUCAUGGCAGCUACGCACCACAGCUACAACGUUCUCAAGAUGCCAGGAAGCGGCGGUGUCAUCACGGCCGCAUGCCAAGAGAAGGAUGCUGUGUGCUCCCUCGAGCACGCCUUCCAGGCUGCAGCACUCGAGAACCCUGAAGACGAGGGCGGCGCCCUCCCUCCCGAGGUCGCCCCCAAGACAAAGAAGCUACAGCUGGGACAAGGAUCUCAUGAGAGAGCAUCACUCGAGGGCACCACGCUGAGCCUCGCGUGUCCGGACGUGGCACCUUCUCCCAUUGCAUAGGAAGGCAUGCCCGACGCCCCUCUCAGGCUAGGCUUGGGGGCUCUCCUCGGGAGGGCCUCAGACCUAGCCAGAGUCACGAGGGAGGCGCUCGUGCACCAUGUGGAGGCGCUUUUUAGAGCACGCUUCCCAGGAGAAGGCAUCAGGCGUGAAGCACCAGACAUUCAGGAGUUAAUCGGCAAGGCAAUCGAGGAGAUUCAUGAGGCAAGGGUUCUGCAAGGCGAUCAUCGCCUGCCGCGAGGCGCAGCUCACUGCCCUAGCGAGGGUAAGGAGUACCACGUCUGCAUCGACAUCCCCAGGCUCAACAGGGAUGCGUCUCGGCAGCUCAUGUCGUCGUCUCGUGUCGGCCGAUGCGAGGGUCCACCUUACAGCUAUGUUCGCAUGCCUUUCAGCCUGCCGAGCACGGCUGUGGUGUUCCAGCACCGCAUGAGGGACGCCCUAGCGGCUCGCGAGGCCAGGCAUCGGGCGAUCCUGGUGGAGAUGGAGGAGCACCUUCAGGAGCCUCCCGGGCCCUCUGAGCCUCCCGAGGCUCGGCACCAGAGCGGCUCGUGAGGAACGACUCCGGCGGCGCAUGUUUUUUGGCUACUUCAACACCUCUUCAGCGAUGGUACCAGGUGACAUCUCUCUAGUUCGUUCAGUCUGGGGGCGCCCCUCGGGCUGCAUCAUCCCCAGGCCAUGUGGGUCCGUCCCUACGGCAUGUAUCCCUUCCGCAUCUAUCAGAGCUAGUUCAAUCUUUUGCAAGUUACCUUUAAAUUAUUAACUGCCUGACCGGUGCUUCGUCGCUAAGAACAUCUCGCGCCCUUGCAAGCCCUCCCGCGACCGCCUCAUGAUUAAGGAUUGGCACGACGUUUGUGCUCGGGUCCGUCCUUGCAGCGUCGCUAAAUCUAAGAGGCUGAGCUCUGGCUCAUGGGCCAGUCCCUGUGUACGUCACCUCCCAUGGCCCUUGGUGCCUUGUUCUCGCAUGAGCUAAUCACGGGUGGAUGAGUAAGGGCGCGCGACCUGGUGCCCCCGUGGCCACAGGAACCGCGUGCCGGUUGUUUUUCUUCAGGAUCUUUGCAUGAGAAGACUGGGAUGGCGUCUGUGCUCGGGUCCGUCCCUGCAGCGUCGAUAAACCCAACGGUUGACCUCUGUCUGGCGGGCCGGUCCCAUUCACGUCACCUCUUGAGAUCGUUGGUGUCUGGCCUUCUCAUGCAAUAACCUCAGGAGACUCAUUCGGCACAGGCUACCUAACCAUCUCGCAGGACUAAUACAAGCACCCUCAAUCAAGACCAGGCGCAACCCGCCUUGAGGUAGGGCCUCGUGAGUCCCGCGCUAGCUCACGAGUGCCCAUACACACCUCCUCCACCCCCGUCGUGCAAGCCACGUGUCAGGGCGCAGCUGUACACGCCCCGGGGGCUCUCCUUAGAGGGAGCCCCCCCUCACGCACUAGUGGAAGCACCAUGCUCCGCGCUGGCCAUCAACACUGCUGAGGAGCAGCUAUGCCCGUGCAAGAGCGGAAGCUCUAUGCUCUGCGCUGGUGAUAAACAACUGGGGGUGGCCUUGCGGCCGCAUCAACCUCAGGGAGCCUCCGGGCUCAGUGACCAGCCUCACCGUGCUGCUCUCCCUCAGGAGGAUAGCAUGAGGGGGCUGGGCACAGGGGCUACGCUCAUGUCACGCCUGGCGUACGCCACCUCGCCAUGCCUCACGGGCCUGGUCUUCGUGCACCCCUCCGAAGCGAGAGCUCGGCGAGGAGAAGGUAUGAUGGUCAAUUCGUACGUCAAGGGGGACUCCUGAGCAUCGUGUCUCAGGAGCCUAACUAGUCACAUAGCCCCUCACCCCUUGGGCUCGUCUUGGCAAUCCGGACGACCCAACGACGGCUGAGGCAUGCGCGGGGCCGGGCCCUGCCGACGCAGAAUGCCAAGGCCUGACUCUCACCCUUCCUUUUCAAGUCGUUCGAAUGUCAAGGGGGACUCCUGGGCAUCGCGUCUCAGGAGCCUAACUGGUCACGUAUCCCCUCAGCCCUUGGGCUCGUCCUGGCGAUCCGGAUGACCCAACGACGGCAGAGGUAUGCGCGGGGCCGGGCCCUGCCAAUGCAGAACAUCAAGGCUUACCUCCGCACCUUUUCCUAAGCUGUUCGCACGUCAAGGAGGACUCUUGAGCAUCGUGUCUCAGGAGCCUAACUGGUCACAUAGCCCCUCACCCCUUGGGCUCGUCCUGGCGAUCCGGACGACCCAACGGUGGCUGAGGUAUGCGCAGGGCCGGGCUCUGCCAAUGCAGAACAACAAAGCAAACGGAAAAGUCAAGGGACCAUAAUCUAAUUAUUACAUAUUGUUCCGAGCAAACAGUUUUAAAUGCCUCCCCGAGGCAUGCUACAUGAUACAGGACAAACAAGGAAAAGCAGAGUCACCAAGCCACCUCUUCAAACCUGGGUGCCACCGUUGCCCGCCAGCGGAGCCUCGUCACCAGGCGCGUCGCCCAUUCCAUCGACCUUGUUUGGAGGACCGAUGACCAGGAACUUACUCAACAUGGCAUGCACAAAGCUCUUCACGGCGGCAGCAGCAGCGUCCUGGGAGUCGGAGUCCACCGGAGUGAGGAAAGAGGUGAGGUCGAAGCCAGCGUCCUGGAGAUAGAGAUGGCUGAAGACGCACGUAAGGGCCGAGGAAGAAAGCGAGCGCGCCUCGCUUUCCACCAAAGAGGCAAACCCGUCGACAACAUCUUCCAGCACCGCCAAGACUUCAGGGAGCAAGGCAGCAGGGCUCUCCCUUGGGGUCAUCGCCGUCACCUUCUUCAAAGGAUCGUCCCCAAAGAGCAACCGCUGAGCCUUGUGGAACCUCGCCUCGAGAGAGGUGAGGGUGCUGCGCUUCAUGGCGGCGGCCUCCUUGGCCCCGGCGAGGGCCGUCUGGGCCGUCUCCACCUCCUCCUUCAGCUCGUCAGGCGGUCGCGCUCCGCAGCCUGCUCCAAGGCCACCUUCUUCACCUCGGCAUCUCGAUCAGCGAUGGCAGCCUCCUAGGCCUUCAGCUUCUCCUCACGCUCCUGGAGCUAGCUGGCCUGGGCGGCCUGCUGAUCCUGAAGAGCCUUCAGUUCAGCCUCCACCAUGCAGCGCCGAUCCUCAGCUUCUGUGGCCUCCUUCCGUGCCAGGUCGUGCUUGGUGGCGACCACCCCGAGCACCUUCUAGGCUUCCUUUGCAGAGCCCCAGGCCGCAGGGACAGACGCGUUGUCCUAGAGCCAACCAGAAAUCAGCCCCAGGCGUCCCUGCGCCGAGCGGCGCCGGGCCCCGAAGUUCACCCUGGAGGAGGUCCAGCACCGCCCUUGCCUCCUCUAGGGCCCCGGAGGUGGCAAGAGUGUCGCGGCUCGGCUGCAUGCUGGGCAAGGGAGAAGACACCCUCAACACCAAGACAGAAGAAACCUCAGCCUCAGGACGGACCGGGGGCUCCGGAGGCUGGUCGACCUUAGUAGCCGCAGCAAGGAUGGGCGCCGGUGGGGUCAGCCUCGCCAAGGACGCCGACACCUCCUGAGGGCGGGCUUCCGCGCCCUGGGAAGACGACACCACCUCCAGAGCUGCAGGGGCCGCGACAUUCUCCUUCACGUGGGCCGUAGCAGCCACCCCGGCGCCUUCAACCACGACAACCUUCGUGCCCUCCUUCUGCUUCUUUGACGAAUGCUGCCUAAUGACGGACGAAGAUGCUAAGCAUCGCUUCAGGAAUCAACAAGUAAGGCUAAGGAAAAGACUUACUGGCCGACGAAGACAUAGCUCCUCUUCAGGCUGAGCAGUGGGUGCUGAGGCAGGGCAGCUGGUGGUGAGCCCUUGGGAGCAGGAGAACUCGCGGUUGGCGCCACUCGGGACGCCGCCGGCGAAGGCGGAACGCUGCCCGGAGGAAUCAGCACGGUCCUGCCCUUCUUCGAGGCCGUCCGCUUGGGCUGCUUCAAAGAGGACACCCCGGAUCUCGUGGUGACUCCAGAAGGGCGAGGCACCUCUACCACCGGAAGCUCAUCAUCACCGUCAGGGAAGUCGUGGAGGAGGUCCCUCUGCCGCGGGGUAGAAGAUUCCUCUACAACCUCGUCCUCGGUGGCCUCGGAGGAGUGGUCGCUGGAGGACAGGUGCACCAAGGCGGUAGGCGGCGGGGGAGGCCCCGCACGCACGAUGCCAAACUCGUCAAAGACCGGCAUGGCAACGGCGACCUCCUCCCCGUCGACCCAACAGUACAACUGGAGCCAAUCCUUUGGAGGUUUGGUCGGAUCCUUCCCCGUCAAGUAAAGCAACACCUUGCCCAGCUCCUCCUCGGGAAGGGCGUCCUGGCACAGGCGGAUCUUGUCGUCGACGCACCCAAGCUUCCACAAGGGGCAGGAGCGAUCUUGGAGCGACGCUAUGCGCUGCGUCAAGAACUCCAUGAUGAACAUGGCCCCCGUCAGCUUCUCGCUCCUCAGGUCCUCCUCCAUCUUCUUCACCAACGGCUUCAAAGAAGGGUCAGUGAUCUUCUCAGAGUACCACCCCUUCCCGGAGGCGGGGAGCUCGGUCGACAGCUCCAACAAGGCAUGGGAGCACUUGGCAUCCAUCAGAACCCACCUCUUCAUGGCAUCCUCCACCUUCUUCCCGGCGCGGGAGAUCGCGUUACCGCCCCAUGCUGCAAUGAAGCCGUUGCACCCAACCGGAUGGUCGCCAGUUGCUACCACUUGAGCACUGCAUUGGUUUUCCCUUGAAGAGGAAAGGGUGAUGCAGCAAAGUAGCGUAAGUAUUUCCCUCAGUUUUUUAGAACCAAGGUAUCAAUCCAGUAGGAGGCUCCAUAGAAGACCCUCGUACCUACACAAACAAACAAGAACCUCGCAACCAACGCGAUAAAGGGGUUGUCAAUCCCUUCAUGGUAACUUCUGAAAGUGAGAUCUGAUAGAGAUAAUAAGAUAAGAUAAAUAUUUUUGGUAUUUUUAUGAUAUAGAUUGAAAAGUAAAGAUGCAAAUAAAAGUAGAUUAGAAACUUAUAUGAUAAAAGAUAGACCCGGGGGCCAUAGGUUUCACUAGUGGCUUCUCUCAAGAUAGCAUAAGUAUUACAGUGGGUGAACAAAUUACUAUCGAGGAAUUGAUAGAAAAGUGCAUAGUUAUGAGAAUAUCUAGGCAUGAUCAUGUAUAUAGGCAUCACGUCUGUGACAAGUAGAUCAAAACAAUUCUGCAUCUACUACUAUUACUUCACACAUCGACCGACUCCAGCCUACAUCUAGAGUAUUAAGUUCAUAAGAACAGAGUAACGCAUUAAGAAAGAUGACAUGAUGUAGAGGGAUAAACUCAAGCAAGAUGAUAUAAACCCCAUCUUUUUAUCCUCGAUGGCAACAAUACAAUAUGUGCCUUGCUGCCCCUGCUGUCACUGGGAAAGGACACCGCAAGAUUGAACCCAAAGCUAAGCACUUCUCCCAUUGCAAGAAAGAUCAAUCUAGUAGGCCAAACCAAACUGAUAAUUUGAAGAGACUUGCAAAGAUAACCAAUCAUACAUAAAAGAAUUCAGAGGAGAUUCAAAUAUUUCUCAUAGAUAAACUUGAUCAUAAACCCACAAUUCAUCGGAUCUCCGCAAACACACUGCAAAAAGAGUUACAUAAAAUAGAUCUCCAAGAAGAUCAAGGAGAACUUUGUAUUGAGAUUCAAAGAGAGAGAAGAAGCCAUCUAGCUAAUAACUAUGGACCCAAAGGUCUGUGGUAAACUACUCACAACUCAUCGGAGAGGCUAUGGUGUUCAUGUAGAAGCCCUCCGUGGUUGAUUCCCCCUCCAGCGGAGCACCGUCGAAGGCUCCAAGAUGGGAUCUCGUGGAUAAAGAAGGUUGCGGCGGUGGAAAUAGUUUUUCAUGGUGCUCCUGGAUGUUUUCAGGGUAUGGAGGUAUAUAUAGGCGAAGGAGGUAGGUGAGAGGAGCCACGAGGGCCCCACGAGGGUGGGGGGUGGGGCGCGCCCUCCUGCCUUGUGGCCACCUUGGCUGCUUCUUGAAGUCCACUCCAAGUCUCCUGGAUUGCGUUUGUUCCAAAAAUAUGGCUCCCGAAGGUUUCAUUCCGUUUGGAAUCCGUUUGAUAUUCCUUUUCUUCGGAACACUGAAAUAGGCAAAAAAACAGCAAUUCGGGUUGGGCCUCCGGUUAGUAGGUUAGUCCCAAAAAUGAUAUAAAAGUGUAAAGUAAAGCCCAUAAACAUCCAAAACGGGUAAUAUAAUAGCAAGGAACAAUAAAAAUUAUAGAUAUGUUGGAGACGUAUCAAGCAUCCCCAAGAUUAAUUCAUGCUCGUCCUCGAGUAGGUAAAUGAUAAAAACAGAAUUUUUGAUGUGGAAUGCUACCUAGCAUAUUUCUCAAUGCAAUUUUCUUUAUUGUGGCAUGAAUGUUCAGAUCCAAAUGAUUCAAAAUAAAAGUUCAUAUUGACAUAAGAAUAGUAAUACUUCAAGCAUACUAACAAAGCAAUCAUGUCUUCUCAAAAUAACAUGGCUAAAGAAAGUUCAUCCCUACAAAAUCAUGUAGUUAGGCCAUGUUUCAUUUUCAUCACACAAAAUACUCCCAUCAUGCACAACCCCGGUUUCAGCCAGGCAAUUGGUUCACACUUUUUAACACGCUUCAGCGUUUUCAACUCUCACGCAAUACAUGAGCGUAAGCCAUGGAUAUAGCACUAUGAGUGGAAUAGAAUAUGAUGGUGGAGGUUGUGUGGAGAAAACAAAAAAGGAGAAAGUCUCACAUUGACGAGGCUAAUCAACGGGCUAUGGAGAUGCCCAUCAAUUGAUGUCAACAUGAGGAGUAGGGAUUGCCAUGCAACGGAUGCACUAGAGAUAUACAUGUAUGAAAGCUCAACAAAAUAAACUAAGUGGGUGUGCAUCCAACUUGCUUGCUCACGAAGACCUAGGGCAUUUUGAGGAAGCCCAUCGUUGGAAUAUACAAGCCAAGUUCUACAAUGAAAAAUUCCCACUAGUAUAUGAAAGUGACAACAUAAGAGACUCUCUAUAUGAAGAACAUGGUGCUACUUUGAAGCACAAGUGUGGAAAAGGAUAGUAACAUUAUCUCAAAAUAAUAUAAGUGAAGCAUGAGAGAUCAAUAAUGUCUACAAAAUAAAACCACCGCCGUGCUCUAAAAAGUAUAAGUGAAGCACUAGAGCAAAACUAUCUACCUCAAAAGAUAUAAGUGAAGCACAUAGAGUAUUCUACUAAAUUUCAAAUCAUGUGUGUCUCUACCAAAAGGUAUGUACAGCAAGGAUGAUUGUGGUAAACUAAAAAGCAAAGACUCAUAUCAUACAAGACACCCCAAGGAAAACACAUGUCAUGUGGCGAACAAAAAUAUAGCUCCAAGUAAAGUUACCGAUAAACGAAGAUGAAAGAGGGGAUGCCUUCCGGGGCAUCCCCAAGCUUAGGCUUUUGGUUGUCCUUGUAUUAUCUUGGGGUGACAUGGGCAUCCCCAAUCUUAGGCUAUUGUCACUCCUUAUUCCAUAGUCCAUCAAAUCUUUACCCAAAACUUGAAAACUUCACAACACAAAACUCAACAGGAAAUCUCAUGAGCUCCGUUAGUGCAAGAAAGAAAAACCACCGCAUAAGGUACUGCAAUGAAAUCAUUCCUUAUUUAUAUUGGUGUUAAACCUACUGUAUUCCAACUUCUAUAUGGUUCAUACCCCCCGAUACUAGCCAUAGAUGCAUCAAAAUAAGCAAACAACACACGAAAAACAGAAUCUGUCAAAAACAGAACAGUCUGUAGCAAUUUGUAACUUUCGAAUACUUAUGAAACUCUAAAAAUCCUACCAAAAUAGGAAGUCCUAGGAAAUUUGUUAUUGAUCUACUGCAAAAAGAAUCAACCCAAAAUCACAUUUCUGUGCUUUAUUAAAAUUAUUCUCGUGUGCGCAAAAGUUUCUGUUUUUCAGCAAGAUCAAAUUAAUUAUCACCCAAGAUGAUCCUAUAGGUUCUACUUGGCACAAAUAAUAAUUAAAACAUAAAACCACAUAUAAACAGAGGCUAGAUGAUUUAUUUAUUACCAAACAGAAGCAAAAAGUAUGGAACAAAAAAUCUUGGGUUGCCUCCCAACAAGCGCUAUCGUUUAACGCCCCUAGCUAGGCAUAAAAGCGAGAGUAGAUCUAAGUAUUGCCAUCUUUGGUAUUCAACUCAUAAGUGGAUCGCAUAAUGGAUUCAUAAGGUAAUUUGAUUUUCUUUCUAGUAAAGUGUUCCAUGCCUUUCUUUAAUGGAAAUUGCAAUCUAAUAUUUCCUUCCUUCAUAUCAAUAAUUGCACCAAUCGUUCUAAGGAAAGGUCUACCAAGAAUAAUAAGACAUGAAAGAUUGCAAUCUAUAUCAAGAACGAUAAAAUCUAUGGGCACAUAAUUCCUAUUUGCAACAAUAAGAACAUCAUUAAUCCUUCCCGUAGAUUUCUUAAUAGUGGAAUCCGCAAGGUGCAAGUUCAAAGAGCAAUCAUAAAAUCACGGAAACCUAGCACAUCACAUAAAGUUUUUGGAAUCAUGGAAACACUAGCACCCAAAUCACACAAAGCAUAGCAUUCAUGAUCUUUAAUUUUAAUUUUAAUAGUAGGUUCCCACUCAUCAUAAAGUUUUCUAGGGAUAUAACUUCCAACUCAAGUUUUUCCUCAUAAGAUUGCAUCAACGAUAUGUUUGGUAAAAGCUUUAUUUUGACUAUAAGCAUGAGGAGAAUUCAACACGGAUUGCAACAAGGAAAUACAAUCUAUUAAAGAACAAUUAUCAUAAUUAAAUUCCUUGAAAUCAAAAUAGUGGUUUCAUUGUUAAGUAAAGUUUUGACCUCUCCAAUCCCACUUUUACCAAAUUUAGCAUCAAGAUCUAAAAACUCUGAAUCAUUGGGACGCCUUUUAACUAAAGUUGACUCAUCUCCAAUCCCAUCAUUAUCAAGAUUCAUAUUGCAAAACAAAGAUUUAAUAGGAGACACAUCAAUCACUUUUAGAUCUUCAUCAUUAUUAUCAUGGAAACUAGAAGAACACGCUUUUACAAAGCAAUCUUUUUAGCACGAUCCUAGCGGUUCUUUCUUUGCACUCAUCAAUCGAAAUUCUCAUGGAUUUGAGAGACUCAUUGAUAUCAUGCUUAGGUGGAAUAUAUCUAAGUUUCAAAGAAUAAACAUCAAGAGAAAUUCUAUCCAUGUUCCUAGCCAAUUCAUCAACGUUAAGCAAUUUUUCUUCAAGCAAAGCAUUGAAAUUCUUUUGAGAGAUCAUAAAUUCUUUAACACUAUUCUAAAAAUCAGAGGGCAUCUUAUUAAAAUUUCCAUAAGAGUUGUUGUAGGAAUUACCAUAAUUAUUAGAAGAAUUAUUAGGGAACGGCCUAGAAUUAAAGUUUCCUCUAUACGCGUUGUUACCAAAAUUAUUCCUACCAACAAAAUUCACAUCCAUAGAUUCAUUAUUAUUCUCAAUCAAAGUAGACAAAGGCAUAUCAUUAGGAUCAAUAGGAGCACUCUUAUUAGCAAACAAUUUCAUAAGUUCAUCCAUCUUUCCACUCAAAACAUUAAUCUCUUCUAUAGCAUGAACCUUUUUUCUAGUAGAUCUUUCAGUGUGCCAUUGAGAAUAAUUAACCAUAAUAUUAUAUAGGAGUUUAGUAGCUUCUCCUAAAGUGAUUUCCAUAAAAGUGCCUCCCGCGGCCGAAUCUAAAAGAUUUCUAGAAGCAAAAUUCAAUCCGGCAUAGAAAUUUUGUAUGAUCAUCCAUAAAUUCAAACCAUGUGUAGGGCAAUUGUGAACCAUUAAUUUCAUUCUCUCCCAAGAUUGGGAAACAUGCUCAUGAUCUAGUUGCUUAAAAUUCAUAAUAUCGUUUCUAAUAGAAAUGAUCUUAGCGGGAGGAAAAUACUUAGAGAUAAAAGCAUCUUUGCACUUAUUCCAUGAAUCGAUACAAUUUUUAGGCAAAGACGAAAACCAAGUUUUAGCACGAUCUCUAAGUGAAAACGGAAAUAACUUCAAUUUAACAAUAUCAUUAUUCGUGUCUUUCUUCUUUUUCAUAUCACACAAAUCAACAAAAUUGUUUAGAUGAGUAGCGACAUCUUCACUAGGAAGGCCCGAAAAUUGAUCUUUCAUAGCAAGAUUCAACAAAGCAGCAUUGAUUUCACAAGAUUCAACAUCAUUAAGAGGAGCAAUCGGAGUGCUAAGGAAAUCAUUAUUAUUGGUAUUGGAAAAGUCACACAAUUUAGUAUUAUCUUGAGCCAUUGUGACAAACAAUCCAACACACAAGCACACGAAAAGGCAAGCGAAAAAGAGAGGCGAACGGAAAAGAGAGGGCGAAUAAAACGGCAAGGGUGAAGUGGGGGAGAAAAAAACGAGAGACAAAUGGCAAAUAAUGUAAUGCGAGGGAGAUAAGUUUGUGAUGGGUACUUGGUAUGUCUUGACUUGAACGAAGACCUCCACAGAAACGGCGCCAGAAAUCCUUCUAGCUACCUCUUGAGCACUGCGUUGGUUUUCCCUUGAAGAGGAAAGGGUGAUGCAGCAAAGUAGCAUAAGUAUUUCCCUCAUUUUUUGAGAACCAAGGUAUCAAUCCAGUAGGAGGCUCCACACAAGUCCCUCGUACCUACACAAACAAACAAGAACCUCGCAACCAACGCGAUAAAGGGGUUGUCAAUCCCUUCAUGGUAACUUGCAAAAGUGAGAUCUGAUAGAGAUAAUAAGAUAAGAUAAAUAUUUUUGGUAUUUUUAUGAUAUAGAUUGAAAAGUAAAGAUGCAAAUAAAAGUAGAUUGGAAACUUAUAUGAUAAAAGAUAGAUCCGGGGGCCAUAAGUUUCACUAGUGGCUUCUCUCAAGAUAGCAUAAGUAUUACGGUGGGUGAAAAAAUUACUGUCGAGCAAUUGAUAGAAAAGUGCAUAGUUAUGAGAAUAUCUAGGCAUGAUCAUGUAAAUAGGCAUCACGUUUGUGACAAGUAGAUCGAAACGAUUCUGCAUCUACUAAUUUUACUCCACACAUCGACCGACUCCUGCCUGCAUCUAGAGUAUUAAGUUCAUAAGAACAGAGUAACGCAUUAAGAAAGAUGACAUGAUGUAGAGGGAUAAACUCAAGCAAUAUGAUAUAAACCCCAUCUUUUUAUCCUCGAUGACAACAAUACAAUACGUGCCUUGCUACCCCUGCUGUCACUGGGAAAGGACAUCACAAGAUUGAACCCAAAGCUAAGCACUUCUCCCAUUGCAAGAAAGAUCAAUCUAGUAGGCCAAACCAAACUGAUAAUUCAAAGAGACUUGCAAAGAUAACCAAUCAUACAUAAAAGAAUCCAGAGGAGAUUCAAAUAUUUCUCAUAGAUAAACUUGAUCAUAAACCCACAAUUCAUCGGAUCUCGACAAACACACCGCAAAAAGAGUUACAUCGAAUAGAUCUCCAAGAAGAUCAAGGAGAACUUUGUAUUGAGAUUAAAAGAGAGAGAAGUAGUCAUCUAGCUAAUAACUAUGGACCCAAAGGUCUGUGGUUAACUACUCACAACUCAUCAGAGAGGCUAUGGUGACAUGUAGAAGCCCUCCAUGGUCGAUUCCCCCUAUGGCGGAGCGCCAGCGAAGGCUCCAAGAUGGGAUCUCGCGGAUACAGAAGGUUGCGGCGGUGGAAAUAGUUUUUCGUGGUGCUCCUAGAUGUUUUUCAGGGUAUGGAGGUAUAUAUACAUGAAGGAGGUAGGUCAGGGGAGCCACGAGGGGCCCAUGAGGGUGGGGGGCAAGUCCACCCCCCUAGGGUGCGCCCUCUUGCCUCGUGUCCGCCUCGGCUGCUUCUUGACGUCCACUCCAAGUCUCCUGGAUUGCGUUUGUUCCAAAAAAAUCGCUCCCAUGGUUUCAUUCCGUUUGGACUCCUUUUGAUAUUCCUUUUCUUCGAAACACUGAAAUAGGCACAAAAAAACAGCAAUUCGGGCUGGGCCUCCGAUUAGUAGGUUUGUCCCAAAAAUGAUAUAAAAGUGUGAAGUAAAGCCCAUAAACAUCCCAAACGGGUAAUAUAAUAGUAUGGGACAAUAAAAAAUUAUAGAUACAUUGGAGACGUAUCACCAGUCAGUCGGAGGAAGAAGAAGUGGCGGAGCAUGGCGACGAAGGGCAUCACCCCCAUGAAUGCCUCACAGUAGAAUGCGAAAAUGGAUAGGAGGAGGAUGGAGUUGGCGUGAAUGUGGAGCGCGUGGAGGCCGUAGUGGUGAAGAACGACAUAGAAAAAGCGGGAGAAUGGGGGCACCAGCCCCAAAUAGAUGUUGUGCAGGAAGAAGGGAAAGAAAGUGUUGUUCGCGGGCUCUAGCACGGCGGUAGCGACCCGGAGAGCCAUCCCCCUCCACUCGUUGUCCUUGCUCGCCGUCAGGAGGAGCACGGUCUGGAGCUUAUCCCUGGCCACGGAGGGCGCAAGCAGCGUCAGCUCGUACCAGGCGGAGCGGGCCGCCGAGGCUGAGGCCGUGGUCUUCUCAGCGGCCAUUGAGCAAAGGAUUGGAGGGGGAAAUCGGCAGAUCUGGUGAGUUCUUCUGCUACUGGGAGAAGGGGAUCUGGAGCAAGAAGAAGAAGAGGCAAUGAAGGCUUAGCGGCGAACAACAACCCUUUUGUCAGAUGGAAACAAUUGCCAAGUCAGCAUGGGGAAGCAAAGUCGCCCACGUCCCAUCAAUCUCCAUGCGUUAUCAAGGCCGCAGGCGGUUAGGGCCCGUGGCACUCCGCACUUGCCCUUUGGCUUCGCUUGGAGGUCAAGUCCGAGCGCGCCUUGGGUCCGGGGGCUACUGUCGGCGUCCUGGAUAUGGGGGUAUCCAGCCCUGCCUACCUGCAGCCCACCACGUGGCUCCAUCGACGGCCUGGUACGGCCCAACUUCAACAUCAACAGCACAAGACCCUCACGAGGGGCCAAACCUCGCGAGGCGGAUGAUGCCAAGACCCCCGAGGGGAUCGGCCUCCUCAGGCUGGCUCCCGAGGGGCGGAGAGUUCUAUGCAAUGUUUACCUCAUGAGGCUCAGCUGACGUAAGCCGUGAAGACCAAGGCCAGGCGGGCGCAGAGCGCAUGUUUCCUCUUCGGUGCAAAGGAGGCAAGCCAUAGGCGUGGAGUCCCGAGGAAUCGGCCAAAGGUUUCCAUUCUGCUGCAACGAGACCAAGACCGCCAGGACGGCAGGACGGAGGUCGUCGACGAGCCCACCGCAGUGUCACUACCAGAGGCUUUUCGCAGGCGAAGACUACUUUUGUCAGGAUAAGCUGUACUACUUGUCCCCUUUCAAAUCCGGCCGUUGUGGGAUCCCUUCCUGCCAACAUUUGGGAAGAGGACCAAGGCCACUAUAAAUAGGACUAGCCACCACCAUAGAGGCAAGACAAGCCGAACUAGCUCACACCACACCAGCUCCCGCGAGCUCAAGAACACCUCACCUCCUGACGCCAGUUCAUCCCUUGUACUAGUUCAUCCUCAGCCCUCCGAGGCAAUCCACCAAAACGCUGGAGUAGGGUAUUACACCGCAAGGUGGCCCGAACCAGGAUAAACUACUGUGUCCCUUUGUCCCUUUGAGCUCGACGUGCUAGACUUAGGAGAAUCAUGAGUAGGCAGGCUGGGUAGGUUGAGUUCUCCGCACGCACCCCAGAGUUCAAACCUCUCAAGGGUUUGCGGGUCCCUUAAUCCGACAACUGAUGUCUGCAUCUCUGUCACUUUUAGAUCAAGAUCAUAGAACUUAGUCUAAAUGAUCCUUUCCAAGCCCUCUUGGUUCUGAGUCAGGGUGGCCAAGCCCUUCUCUAUCCUCAAGGUUGCUUGAAUUAGAUAAGAAAGUUGAUCUUGUUUGGACUUGAGAAACACUUGAGAUGCCUCUUCAACACUUGGCAUCUUUGUAGCUUUGUCAACCUUAGCUUUCUCUCUCUUUUCUUGUGUGUGCACAGAUGUGGGUUCUUCUUCAUUCAUGACAACAAUGUUGACCUCAAAAUCUGUUCUCAAGGGUAGAUGCUCUUUAUCCAACAGACAGGUGCAUGUGCCCAUCUUGGAGUUGAUGAGCACCUGAAUAUGUGGAGCAUACCCAUAAGAUCUCUUCUGAUCUGCAGCUAUCCUUUUUAUUGUUUCCACAAUCAGGCUCAUGGCUUUGAAUUUUUGGGGCACAUCAAACAAUUGCAGCAAGUUGAUAGAAUGACCUCUGGUCAUCUUGUGAUCUCCAGAUUUGGACAACAAAGUAUGCCUCAGGAUAGAGUUGAUUGUAGCUAAGCUAGACAACAGAUAAUGAACAGACCCAAGCUUAUGAGUUUCCACGCCUUUGAAUUUCUUUGUACAUGUUGGUGAUGACCCACAAGUGUAGGGGAUCUAUUGUAGUCCUUUCGAUAAGUAAGAGUGUCGAAGCCAACGAGGAGCAGAAGGAAAAGAUAAGCAGUUUUCAGUAAGGUUUUCUCUGCAAGCACUGAAAUUGUAGGUGAUAGAUAGUUUUGUGAUAGGAUAAAUAGUAACGAGUAACAAGUAAGAAAAGUAAAUGAAGUGCAGCAAAGUGGCCCAAUCCUUUAUGUAGCAAAGGAUAAUCCUGGACAAUUUCUAAUAAUGAGAAAGGAGCUCCCGAGGACACAUGGGAAUUAUCAUCAAGCUAGUUUUCAUCACGCUCAUAUGAUUCACGUUCGGUACUUUGAUAAUUUGAUAUGUGGGUGGACCGGUGCUUGGUUACUGCCCUUACUUGGACAAGCAUCCCACUUAUGAUUAACCCCUAUUGCAAGCGUCUGCAACUACAAAAGAAGUAUUAAGGUAAACCUAACCACAACAUAAACAUAUGGAUCCAAAUCAGCCCCUAACGAAGCAACGCAUAAACUAGGGUUUAAGCUUCUGUCACUCUAGCAACCCAUCAUCUACUUAUUACUUCCCUAUGCCUUCCUCUAGGCCCAAAUAAUGGUGAAGUGUCAUGUAGUUGACAUUCACAUAACACCACUAGAGGAAAAGACAACAUACAUCUCAUCAAAAUAUUGAACGAAUACCAAAUUGACAUGACUACUAAUAGCAAGACUUCACCCAUGUCCUCAGGAACAAACGUAACUACUCACAAAGCAUAUUCAUGUUCAUAAUCAGAGGAGUAAUAAUAUGCAUAAAGAAUCUGAACAUAUGAUCUUCCACCAAGUAAACCAAUUAGCAUCAACUACAAGGAGUAAUCAACACUACUAGCAACCCACAUGUACCAAUUUGUGGUUUCGAUACAAGAUUGGAUACAAGAAAUGAACUAGGGUUUGUGAAGAUGUUGAUGGAGAUUGACCAACUCCCGAUGAGACGAUCGUUGGUGAUGACAUUGGUGAUGAUUUCCCCCUCCCGGAGGGAAGUGUCCCCGACAGAAUAGCUCCGCCAGAGCCCUAGAUUGAUUCCGCCAAGGUUCCGCCUCGUGGCGGCGGAGUUUCAUCCCGUAAGCUUGCCCACGAUUUUUUCCAGGGUAAAAGCCCUCAUAUACCAGAAGAUGGACACCGGAGGGCCACCAGGGGGGCCAGGAGAUAAGGGGCGCGCCCAAUAGGGGGGCGCCCCCCACCCUCCAGGCAGGGUGUGGGCCCCCUGGUGUACUUCUUCCGCUCAAUAAUUCUUUUUAGUUCCAAAAAUAGGUUUCAUGGAGUUUCAUGAUUUUUGGAGCAGUGCAAAAUAGCUUUCCAAUGUUUGCUCCUUUUCCAGCUAGAAUUCUAGCUGCCGGCAUUCCCCCUCUUCAUGGUAAAUCUUGUAAAAUAAGAGAGAGUGGCCAUAAGUAUUGAGAUAUAAUGUGUAAUAACAACCCAUAAUGCAAUAAAUAUUGAUAUAAAAGCAUGAUGCAAAAUGGGCAUAUCAACUCCCCCAAGCUUAGACCUCGCUUGUCCUCAAGCGGAAGCCGAUAUCGAAAAAUAUGUCCACAUGUUUAGAAAUAGAGGUGUUGUUAAAAAGAAAAUAUGGACAUGAGGGCAUCAUGAUCAUUCUUGUAACAACAAUAUAUAUAUAGAUUUUAUCAUAUGAUUUCUUAUGCUCAAGUAACAAUCAAUUCACAAUAUGAAGUAUGGUUCAAAAACUUCAUUGAGAACUAACAAACUAUAAUCUCAGUCAUUGAAGCAAUCGCAAUUUAUCAUAACAUCAGAAAGGGUCAACAAUAGAGCUUUUCAGCAAGUUCACAUACUCAACUAUCUUGUAGUCUUCUACAAUUGCUAAUACUCACGCAAUACUUGUGGUUAUGGAGUUUCAGCCGAACACUGAGAAAGAUAGGGGCUUAUUGUGUUACCUCCCAACGUAUUCACCUUUAGGUGAUGUCAACAAUAAUAGCCCAUGCUAACUUACAUCCAAUUGGAUAUAUAUAUCAUGAUCUUUCAAACACGAAGAGCUUGCCAAAGGAUAAAAUGAAAAAGGGAAAGGUGAGGAUCACCUUGACUCAAGCAUAAAGUAAAAACAUAAAGUAAAAGAUAGGCCCUUCGCAGAGGGAAGCAAAGGUUGUCAUGUGCGUUUAGGGUUGGAUGCGCAAAAUCUUAAUGCAAAAGAACGUCACUUUAUAUUGCCCCUUGUAUGUGGACCUUUAUUAUGCAGUCCGUCGCUUUUAUUGCUUCCACAACAAGAUCAUACAAAGCUUAUUUUCUCUGCACUAAUAAGUCAUACAUAUUUAGAGAGCAAUUUUUAUUACUUGCACCGAUAACAACUUACUUGAAGGAUCUUACUCAAUCCAUAGGUAGGUAUGGUGGACUCUCAUGGCAAAAACUGGGUUUAAGGAUAUUUGGAAGCACAAGUAGUAUCUCUACUUUGUGCAAGGAAUUUGGCUAGCAUGAGGGGGAAAGGCAAGCUCAACAUGUUUGGAAGGUCAAUGACAAUAUACUUUAACUGAGAUGUGCGAAAACAUAAACCAUUACGUUGUCUUCCUUGUCCAACGUCAACUCUUUAGCAUGUCAUACUUAAUGAGUGCUCCCAAUCAUAAAAGGUGUCCAAGAUAAUAUAUUUAUAUGUGAACCUCUAUUUCCUUAUCACUUCCUAUUAAUUGCAACGAUGACGAGAACUACAUUUAUCAACUCUCAACAAUUUUUAUGCCUCAUACUUUCUAUAUGUGAAGUCAUCACUAAGCAUAAGAUCAAUAUGAACUCUUUAAUUCUUUCUACUUUCUCAAGAUCAUAGUAACAUAGUAAAGCCCUUGACCCAACACUAAUCUUUAUUAUAGAUAGCUCACGGACUCAAUUACGAAAAGAGAUCACAAAGCAAAACUCAAAACUACUUGAUAUCAAAACUUCAAUCUACUAGAUCAAGAUACUACUAAAAGGGUCAAACUAAAUAAAACGGUAAAAAUAGGAGUGUGAUGGUGAUACGAUACCGAGGCACCUCCCCCAAGCUUGGCAGUUGUCAAGGGGAGUGCCCAUACCCAUGUGAUUAUGUCCUCGGAGGUGGUGAAGUAGGAGUUGUUGAUGAUGUAGGCUUGUCAUCCGUCUUCCAAGGCAUAGGCUCACCAUCAUAGAAGGAUGAUCGAGUCUCCGGGAUACUUAAAUCUGCAGCCAAACUCAUCCUCUUGAAUCUAUAUUCAUACUCACAGUUCUGGUUUUGCAGGUCAUAGAUCUGGGCUUGGAGGUGCUCGAUUUUCUCCUGAAGCUUGAAGAUGGUCUCCCCAAUGAAUUUGGCAUCUAGCUUGUGGUUGUUGGUGAACUCCGUGAUCAUCAUCUGGUUGGCGUUGAGUCCAUGCUCCACCAUCCCUUGGCACUUGAAAACUUGCUGCUCCAUGGCUUCGAGCUUUGUCUCCACGCUUCCGGUACGCCUUGGUCCCUCCAUGUCGCGGAUGUGCAGCACCCCCUCACGCAUCUCGAUGGUUUGAGGGUGUUUCAGCACCUCCACGUGAUAGGGGUUGAUAACCCUCUCGAAAAACUUGUCCUUGGGAGCGCUUGGAGACGCCAUGAUGCUCUGGAUCUGAAACAGAAAUAGCUCGAAACGAAAACAGAGGAUAUUUGUGUGAUACGUUGGUCAAAACCUUCAGGAGUAUAUAUAAUGAAUUUUUACCGACCAAAAUACGUAACUUGCAAGAAAACGGAGUCCGGGAGGCACACGAGGUGCCCACGAGACAGGGGGGCGCUCCCAGUAGGGGUGGGUGCACCCUCCACUCUCAUGGGUCCUUGUGUCCCUCUCGGACUACCUCUUUCUUCCUAAAGUUCUUAAAUAUUCCAGAACUGAUAAAAAAUGCCAUUGGAGUUGUUUUGGAGUCGGUUUACUUACCGUACCACAUACCUAUUCCUUUUUGGAGUCUGGAACAUUUUGGAAAGUGUCCCUUAUGUAUUCCUCCGGGGUUACGGUUUCAAUAAUAUUAGUUUCAACAUUAAUAGGAUUACCUGAAAUAUAAUGUUUAAUUCUUUGACCGUUUAGCACCCUCGGACUUGUGCCUUCGAAGUUGUUGAUUUUUAUGGCACCAGAACGAUAUACCUCCUCGAUAACGUAAGGACCUUCCCAUUUAGAGAGAAGUUUUUCUGCAAAAAAUCUUAAACGAGAGUUGAAUAAUAACACAUAAUCUCCUAUGUUAAACUCAGGGUUUUGUAUCCUUUUAUCGUGCCAGCGUUUGACUUUUUCUUUGAAUAGCUUGUCAUUCUCAUAGGCUUGGGCUCUCCAUUCAUCAAGUGAGCUAAUAUCAAACAACCUCUUCUCACCGGCAAGUUUGAAGUCAUAGUUGAGCUCUUUAAUAGCCCAAUAUGCUUUAUGUUCAAGUUCAAGAGGUAAAUGACAUGCUUUUCCAUAAACCAUCUUAUAUGGAGACAUACCCGUAGGAUUUUUGUAUGCAGUUCUAUAGGCCCAUAAUGCAUAAUCAAGUUUUUUGGACCAAUUCUUUCUAGAUCUAUUCACAGUCUUUUGCAAAAUUAAUUUGAGUUCUCUAUUGCUCAACUCUACUUGACCACUAGACUGCGGAUGAUAAGGAGAUGUGAUUCUAUGAUUGACAUCAUACUUAGCAAGCAUCUUACGGAAAGCACCAUGAAUAAAAUGUGAACCACCAUCAGUCAUAAGAUAUCUAGGGACUCCAAACCUCGGAAAAAUAACUUCUUUAAGCAUUUUAAUAGAAGUGUUAUGAUCAGCGCUACUAGUUGGAAUAGCUUCUACCCACUUAGUAACGUAAUCAACAGAUCCUAAAAUAUGUGUGUAACCAUUAGAGGCAGGAAAAUGUCCCAUAUAAUCGAAGCCCCAAACAUCAAACGGUUCAAUAACAAGAGAGUAAUUCAUAGGCAUUUCUUGACGUCUACUAAUAUUACCUAUUCUUUGGCAUUCAUCACAAGAUAAGACAAACUUACGAGCAUCUUUGAAGAGAGUAGGCCAAUACAAACCAGAUUGUAGUACCUUGUGUGCAGUUCUAUCUCCAGCGUGGUGUCCUCCAUAGGAUUCAGAGUGACACCUGUGUAAGAUCUGUUCCUGUUCAUGCUCAGGCACACAACGGCUAAUAACACCAUCUACUCCUUCUUUAUAAAGGUGUAGGUCAUCCCAAAAGUAAUGUCUUAAAUCAUAAAAGAACUUUUUCUUUUGCUGGUAUGUGAAACUGGGAGGUAUAAAUUUAGCAACAAUGUAAUUAGCAUAAUCAGCAUACCAAGGAGCAGUACGAGAAUCAUUAAUGACCGCUGACUGUUCAUCAGGAAAGCUAUCAUCAAUAGGCAGUGGGCCAUCAAGAACAUUCUCUAACCUAGACAAGUUGUCUGCAAUGGGGUUCUUCGCUCCCUUUCUAUCAAUAAUAUGCAAAUCAAAUUCUUGGAUCAAGAGGACCCAUCUAAUGAGCCUAGGCUUAGCAUCUUUCUUUUCCAUAAGAUAUUUAAUAGCAGCAUGAUUAGUGUGAAUAGUAACUUUGGAAUCAACAAUAUAAGGUCUAAACUUAUCACAUGCAAACACAACUGCUAAGAAUUCUUUUUCAGUAGUAGCAUAAUUUCUUUGGGCAGUAUCAAGAGUUUUACUAGCAUACUGGAUAAGAUUUAAUUUCUUAUCAACCCUUUGCCCUAGAACACCACCUACAGCAUAAUCACUAGCAUCACAUAUAAUUUCAAAGGGUAAAUUCCAAUCAGGUGGCUGAACAACAGGAGCAGUGAUCAAAGCUUUCUUAAGUAUUUCAAAUGCUUCUACACAAUCAUCAUCAAAGACAAAAGGAAUAUCUUUUUGCAACAAAUUAGUCAGAGGCCUAGAGAUUUUAGAAAAGACCUUAAUGAACCUCCUAUAAAAACCGGCAUGACCAAGGAAACUUCUUAUACCUUUUAUGUCCUUGGGACAUGGCAUCUUUUCAAUAGCAUCAACUUUAGUUUUAUCAACUUCAAUACCUCUCUCGGAAAUCUUGUGCCCCAAGACAAUCCUUCAUUAACCAUAAAGUGACACUUUUCCCAAUUCAGAAUGAGACUGGUGUCUUUGCAUCUCUGCAAAACUCGAUCAAGGUUGCUCAAACAAUUAUCAAAAGAGGAUCCAUAAACGGAGAAGUCAUCCAUGAAUACCUCACAAAUCUUUUCACAAAAAUCAGAGAAUAUAGCCAAGAUGCAUAUUUGAAAGGUAGCAGGUGCAUUGCAUAAACCAAAAGGCAUAUGUCUAUAAGCAAAAGUACCGAAAGGGCAAGUAAAAGUAGUUUUUGAUUGAUCUCCCGCUGACACAGGAAUUUGAGAGAAACCAGAAUAACCAUCUAGAAAGCAAAAAUGUAUGUGUUUGGAUAGUCUUUCUAGCAUUUGAUCAAUAAAAGGUAAAGGGUAAUGAUCUUUCUUAGUAGCUUUAUUUAGUUUACGGAAAUCAAUUACCAUCCUAUAACCUAUAAUAAUUCUUUGCGGGAUCAAUUCAUCUUUAUCAUUAGGAACGACAGUAAUACCUCCCUUUUUAGGAACACAAUGAACAGGACUUACCCAUUCACUAUCAGCAAUGGGAUAAAUUAUACCUGCCUCAAGGAGCUUUAAUAUCUCCUUUCUUACCACUUCUUUCAUCUUGGGAUUUAGUCGUCGUUGAGGAUCUCUAACUGGUUUGGCAUCAUCCUCCAAUUUAAUUUUGUGUUGGCAUAACGUGGGACUAACACCCUUAAGAUCAUCCAGAGUGUAUCCAAUAGCAGCUCGGUGCCUCUUCAGAGUUUUCAAUAAUCUUUCUUCUUCUUGCUCUGAAAGGUUAGCACUAAUUAUAAUAGGAUAUAUGUUCUUUUCAUCAAGAUAAGCAUACUUAAGAUUAUCAGGUAAAGGUUUGAGUUCAAACACGGGAUCACCCUUGGGUGGAGGGGGAUCCCCAAGAAUUUCAACGGGAAGAUUAUGUUUCAGCAUAGUUUCAUGUUUAAGGAACACUUCAUCUAUUUCCCUUCUUUCCUUCAUAAACAUAUCAUUUUCAUGGUCUAGCAAAUAUUGUUCUAACGGAUCAGUAGGAGGCACAACAAUGGAAGCAAGACCAAUAAUCUCAUCCUUACUAGGUGGUUCCCUAUCACGAGGUUGUCUACGAAACUUAGCAAAAUUAAACUUAUGAGACAUACCAUCUAAGCCAAUGGUGACAGUAUCUUUUUCACAAUCAAUCUUAGCACUAGCUGUAUUCAAGAAGGGUCUACCAAAAAUAAUUGGACAGAAGGCAUCUUGUGGGGAAGCAAGAACAAGAAAAUCAACAGAGUAUUUAACUUGCCCACACAAAACUUCAACAUCUCUAACAAUCCCAACAGGUUUAAUGGUAUCCAUAUUAGCAAGCUUAAUAGUAACAUCAAUGUCUUCUAAUUCAACUGGUGCAAUGUCGUGCAGAAUUUGUUUAUAUAAAUCAUAAGGUAUAGCACUAGCACUAGCACCCAUAUCACAUAAACCAUGAUAACAAUGAUCUCUUAUUUUAACAGAAAUAACAGGCAUGCCUACGACAGGUCUAUGUAUCUUAGUAUCUAGUCUAGCAAUAUUAGCAGUUUCAUCAAAGAAAUAAAUAACAUGCCCAUCUAAAUCAUCAUCCAAGAGAUCUUUAACCAUAGCAAUACUAGGUUCAACAUUGAUUUGCUCAGGAGGUGUAUAAGUCCUAAUAUUACUCUUACGAACAACUGUCGAAGUUUUAGCAUGAUCCUUUAUCCUAACAGGAAAUGGGGGUUUCUCAACAUAAGUAGUAGGAACAAUAGGAUCACUAUAGGUGAUAGUCUUUUCUUCGACUGUAAUAGGUGCAACUACUUUCACUUCAACGGGAGGAUUAUAUUUAAACCACUUCUCUUUAGGGAGAUCAAUGUGAGUACCAAAAGAUUCACAGAAAGAAGCUACUAUCUCAGAGUCAAGUCCAUACUUAGCGCUAAAUCCACGAAAAGCAUCGGUAUCCAUAAAAGAUUUAACACAAUCGAACUUAGGUGUCAUACGUGACUCCUUACCAUCGUCGGAACCCCAAUCUUCAGAGUUGCGUUUAAUUCUUUCCAAUAAGGCCCAUUUGAAAUCAAUAGUCUUCAGCAUAUAAGAACCAGCACAGGAAGUAUCGAGCAGGUUGCGAUUAUUAAGAGAAAGCCGAGCAUAAAUUUUUUGAAUAAUCAUUUCUCCGGAGAGCUCAUGAUUGGGGCAUGAAUAUAACAUUGACUUAAGCCUCCCCCAAGCUUGAGCGAUGCAUUCUCCUUCGUGAGGCCAGAAAUUAUAUAUGUAAUUACGAUCACAAUGAACAAGAUGCAUAGGAUAGAACUUCUGGUGAAAUUCCAACUUCAAUCGUUUGUAAUUCCAAGAUCUCGUAUCUUCACAUAGCCUAUACCAUGUCAAUGCAUCUCCCUUAAAAGAUAAAGGGAAGACCUUCCUUUUGACAACAUCGUCGGGAAUACCUGCAAGCUUAAAUAAUCCACAAACUUCAUCCACAAAGAUAAGGUGUAAAUCAGGAUGCAAUGUUCCAUCUCCUGUAAAUGGAUUAGCUAGCAGUUUCUCUAUCAUACCCGAAGGAAUCUCAAAGUAAAUAUUUUCAUAAAGUUCAGUAGGUUUAGGAGCUACUCUUUGCUCUUCUGGUCGAGGUGAAGAUACCCCGAACAAGCCCCUCAAAGGAUUAGUUUCCAUAGUGACAAGUAAUAGAAAAUUUCAGCACACUACAUAAAUGUUUCCUUACCAAGUUCCAGUCACCAAAAGCGCUACACUCCCCGACAGCGGCGCCAAAAAAGAGUCUUGAUGACCCACAAGUUUAGGGGAUCUAUCGUAGUCCUUUCGAUAAGUAAGAGUGUCGAACCCAACGAGGAGCAGAAGGAAAUGAUAAGCGGUUUUCAGUAAGGUUUUCUCUGCAAGCACUGAAAUUGUAGGUGAUAGAUAGUUUUGUGAUAGGAUAAAUAGUAACGAGUAACAAGUAAACAAAGUAAAUAAAGUGCAGCAAGGUGGCCCAAUCUUUUAUGUAGCAAAGGACAAUCCUGGACAAUUUCUAAUAAUGAGAAAGGAUCUCCUGAGGACACAUGUGAAUUAUCAUCAAGCUAGUUUUCAUCACGCUCAUAUGAUUCACGUUUCGUACUUUGAUAAUUUGAUAUGUGGGUGGACCGGUGCUUGGGUACUGCCCUUACUUGGACAAGCAUCCCACUUAUGAUUAACCCUUAUUGCAAGCGUCCGCAACUACAAACGAAGUAUUAAGGUAAACCUAACCACAUCAUUACAUAUAUGGAUCCAAAUCAGCCCCUAACGAAGCAACGCAUAAAUUAGGGUUUAAGCUUCUGUCACUCUAGCAACCCAUCAUCUACUUAUUACUUCCAUAUGCCUUCCUCUAGGCCCAAAUAAUGGUGAAGUGUCAUGUAUUCAACAUUCACAUAACACCACUAAAAACAUACAUCUCAUCAAAAUAUCAAACGAAUACCAAAUUCACAUGACUACUAAUAGCAAGACUUCACCCAUGUCCUCAGGAACAAAUGUAACUACUCACAAAGCAUAUUCAUGUUCAUAAUCAGAGGAGUAAUAAUAUGCAUAAAGGAUCUGAACAUAUGAUCUUCCACCAAGUAAACCAAUUAGCAUCAACUACAAGGAGUAAUCAACACUACUAGCAACCCACAGGUACCAAUUUGUGGUUUUGAUACAAGAUUGGAUACAAGAGAUGAACUAGGGUUUUGAGAGGAGAUGGUGCUGGUGAAGAUGUUGAUGGAGAUUGACCCCCUCCCUAUGAGAGGAUCGUUGGUGAUGACAUUGGUGAUGAUUUCCCCCUCCCAGAGGGAAGUGUCCCCGGCAGAACAGCUCCGCCAGAGCCCUAGAUUGAUUCCACCAAGGUUCCGCCUCGUGGUGGCGGAGUUUCGUCCUGUAAGCUUGCCCAUGAUUUUUUCCAGGGUAAGAGCCCUCAUAUAGCAGAAGAUGGAUACCGGAGGGCCACCAGGGGGGCCAGGAGACAAGGGGCGUGCCCAGUAGGGGGGGGGGCACCCUCCUGGACAGGGUGUGGGCCCCCUGGUGUACUUCUUCCGCUCAAUAAUUCUUAUUAAUGCCAAAAAUAGGUUUCGUGGAGUUUCAGGAUUUUUGGAGUAGUGCAGAAUAGGUUUCCAAUGUUUGCUCCUUUUCCAGCCAGAAUUCCAGAUGCCGACAUUCCCCCUCUUCAUGGUAAAUCUUGUAAAAUAAGAGAGAAUGGCCAUAAGUAUUGGGAUAAAAUGUGUAAUAACAGCCCAUAAUGCAAUAAAUAUUGAUAUAAAAGCAUGAUGCAAAAUGGACGUAUCAGUUGGCCAUAGAGUUGUGCUCUUUCUUCUUCUUGGCAUAUACAUCCAAUUCAUCCUCAUGUUCUUCAGGGGCUUUGAUCAAUUUGGCCCACUCGGCAACUGCUGAUUGGUACCUCGUACCCUCAGACAUCCAAACAAUUCUACUAUCAGGAUAGAAGUGUGUUGUGGAGUAGAAUUGCAUGAUGAGUUCAUGAUUCCACUUGGUCAACUUCUGACCCACAAACUUGUCCAUUCCACAUAGGCUAAAGCUCUCAUGCACUCCUGGAAAAAGAUAUUCAUUCUCAUCAAUGUAUUCCAAUCUGCCCACUUCAUGUCACAAACAAUGGGCUUCUUGUCAAGCAAAAUGGUCUCAUAGAAAUCCUGCUUCUCCUUGGUGUGGAACGUGCAAUCCGCAGCAGUCCUUCUCCUCACAACAUAUGGAUCUGACUGUAUCCAUAGUCUAAGACAUGCAUCCUUCCUUAUGGUCAUGUCUUCUGCCACUGGAUGGUUGUCAUCAUGAUUUGGAAUCUUAGGUUUCAGCUUCCUAAGCACUUGCGCUUCAACAUCUUCUUCCUCAUCAAUCUCACGCACCGAGGCCUUGUUCUUUUCAGCAGCUGGAAUAUUUAUUGUGCUCCUCUUUGGUGCAGUCUUGGGAGAUGGAGCAAAAGCUUUGGGAGUUGUCUUGGGCUUAGAAGGGGCAGCCCCAGACUUGAUGGCAUCUCCCAUCAGCUUUUGAGUCUUUGAUGCUGGUGCAGUAUCUUCUUCUUCCUCUUGCUCUUCAUAUUCAGUGGGAGAUCUCAUCAUAGAGGAUCUCCCAAUGACUCUUGCCAUGGUCUUCUUGACCCUUUCUUUCCUCUUCUUGCCUUCACCAGCCUCCUUUGGUUCAAGAGUGAACUCAAUUGUUUCUUCUAUUGCAACUUUCCAUGGCUUGGAUGUUGGCACUCUCUUGGCAGGUGCCUUCUUGUGCAUACUAGGUUUUGUUGAAGCAACAGUGCCAUACUCUUUCUUAGAAACUUUCUUCUUUGAGGUGGCCUCAUCCUCAACAGCCACAUAGUCCUCAUCCUCUGAGUCUGAGUUUCUCUUCUUCCUUGUCCUUGUAGCUGCUUUGUGCAAAUUGCUUGGGGUGCUCCUGCUGUCCUCAUCAUAGCUGCUACAGGGACUAGUGCCCUCACUCAUGUUCACUUGCCCUUCUAACUUGUUUUGGCUAUCACUCUGACCAGACAUACUGGCAAAGCAAACUGACAGCAGACCCUGUGAAUAGUUGUAGAUAAGAUAGAGUGGAUGAGCAUCACAAAGUAUAGAGUUUUUGCAAAACAAAUGAGUCAAAAACUUAGUUUUAUUUUUUCCAUAGAAAGCAUUUCAAAGCUACCGAUUUGUUAAACUCGGUGACACCGAAGCAACUUUGGAGUUUAAACUGGUGAAAUCGAUCAGACCGAGACACAGUUCAAUGACUCCGAGAUUGCUAGGGUUUCACAAAGAGUUGAACUCGCUCCCACUGAUUUGCAACUUUCGGUCAGACUGAAAAGUGCAAGUGCAAUGGCCUAAGCCAAAUUGGUGAGACCAAUUUCCACAACUCGGUCGGUUCGAGAUGAGUUCGGCGGAAAGCUAACCCUAAAUUUUUGAAUCUAAUCUAAUCUAAGGGAUGUUCUUGCUGGACAGGAUGAUUUCAUACGUGGUAAAGAACAUGGCGUUGACCUUGUGCUCAGAAUCGGAGGUAAAAAGAAUGCACAAGGGGUCGAACUCAUACCCUAGUUUGGCGAUGAGCUCACUACGGUGGCAACUGCAGGGUUGAAAUCCGUUGACAGUGGCGGAGACCAGCGGCUAGAGGUCGCUGGCGAUGAGAGGACGAUCCGGAGACCCGAGGCGGCAGAGCAGGACACGCGCGGGCUGAGGGGUUUUGGAGAAAUUUCCAAAUUUUGACUCGUCGGUAUAUAUAUCCUGACCUUGUCAGUGUGACCGAGUGGAACAACUCGGUGGCACCGAGAUGCAGAAUUGCACGCGUUUACUACAAUCGGUGUGACCGGAAAUUUCUAACCGGUUGUACCGAGAUUGAAAACCUAGAUCAACUCAGCGAACUCGGUCGGACCAAAAAGGAUGAAUCGGUAAGAUCGAAAUGCACAGAGAGGUUUUGGAAGUUUAAGUCUAUGACAAAUUGGGGACUCCGAGUGCUCCUCACACUGAGUGUUCGAAUCUGACUUGAUCAAACUUUGUGAUGUAGCAUGAAUAGAGUUUGAGACGAGAAAAGCAUAGAUAGCUAGAGGAAGUUCUUAGGCAUUCUUGUCCAUCCAUUUGGCAAAAGAAAAAGAGCCAAACAAUCAAAGCAACAAAUGGAUGUUCUGAAUGAGUAAAAUAUGCAGUCAACAUGCUCACACAAUAAAAUCGCAAAUGAAAUAUGUAGCAAAGCAUGCACAAACACUCUAGCAUCUAUCAAGCAAUUGGUGAUGACUAGGUCAUCUAUAUAUGAGUAUAUUGACUUAGGAUUCAAUUGAGAACAUUUGAUCAUAGGUCAUACUCAUCAUUUAAGCACAAGUGGGGAUUCCACUUUUACAUAAAGCAUUGUUGUGUUCACACAUUAGAGUAGCUUUAGCUCAAUUCUUAGAGUAAAGCUCCCCCUAGAUGUGAUAUCCCCCCUAAGAGGGAUGAACUAACUUUGGGUUUUGUUGAUGACGACUUCAUAUAGAUGUUGAAGAUGUGGAUGCUGAAUGUUAAUGUAGAUUAUUCGGAGCAAUCCAUUGGAGUGAGUUGCACUUUCAAUACCUACACGGGUUAGUCCCACAAGGAACAAACAAGGAUAUCCAUAGACAUAGAGUGAAGUUCACACAAGAUGAUGUCCAUGAAAGCAUUAGGUUACCUUGUCCCUUGUCUUACCAACAAGAGGGUUUGUGACUCCUUGAACUAGUGCAAGAUGUGGAAGUUGUUUGCAAUUGUCCUCGCCAAGAUGAUAUGAGUGAAGUAUAUUGGCAGAGUCACCCUCAAGCACUCUCUAGUUCUUCUUCUUUGGGAUCCACAUCAACUUGAUGGGAAUCCUUGGAGUUGUAGUUGGACUUGAUGAAGCAGAACUUGAUGUAGUCUUGGGAACCCACUUGACCAAGGCUUUAGGAGCUUCUUCAAAUGCAUCAAUCUCCUCUUGAAGCUUGUCCUUGCCUUUUUGCUUGUGGUCCUGUGGUGGAAGAUCAUCUUGAGCUUGUGUCCGCUUGAAAGAAGUAGGAUCAUACUUCUCUUGUUGAGGACCAAACUUCGUCUUGGGGUAUUGAUCUUCUUCCCACCCAACUCCAUUGGCAUUAAAUUUUUGUUCAAAACCAACUCCUUGAUUUUUCCGGUGUCUUCCUAGCUUGCGUACAAUUUCCUCAAAUUGCUUACUUCCGACAAGACUCUUGUAAACACCUUUCUCUAUAAUUCCCUUCAAUAAGCUAUUUUAUUGCUCAAGUGUAACUUGGCUAAGAGAAUCAUUAGUGGAAUCAAGAUAACUACUAGAAGCAACAAUAUUGGAUUUAACAUGAUUAUUGUUACUACUAGAAGAAGAAUCUUUCUUAUUCUUGUUGCUAGAUUUUACUUGUGGCAUGUAAGUAGACAAGAGUAAAUGCUUGGCAAUGUAAGAAGAACUUUUCUUACGAAGAUCAUCAUUGAUUGCUUUUAAGAACCAUGUUCUUGCUCAAGGUUGAGCUUUUCAAAGCGUAGCUUUUCAUGAGUCUUUAAAAGAUCUUGAUGAUCUUCUAAGGUAGUUUCAUGAGCUAACUUAAGAGUGUUUAGUUCUUUAGUUAGACACUCAAUCUCCUUCUUAUCAUCGUCAUUCGUUUUAUCUUGAUUAGCAUGAUUAAUAGCAAUUUCAUCAUAGUUUUCAUUACUAGAGUUGUUCAACAAGUAAAUUAUCAUCACCUAGCAAAUCAUCUUCAUCACUAUUGAAAUCAACAUACUCGGGGUGUGAUACCUUUCGGCCUUCAGCCAUUAAGCAUCUUCCAAUUCCUUCAUUUGGCGAGUCAAAUAUUUUGUAGGAGUUGGUUGACACAAGUGCUAGACCGGCAACACCUUCAUCUUGAGUAUAUUUGGAGUUAGAGUGAUAACUUCUCUUGGAGUGAUGGUCGGAGUCGGAGCCGGAUACCCAUUCACCAACGUGAGCUAGAUGUUUUCGUUUUGUGUAGCUCCUUGAUGACUUGUCCUUCCUUUCCGAAUCCUUGCUUAUGAGAGAGGUUUUUUGUUCAUAACGAUCAUCUCUACUCCUCUCUCUUGGAGGUGAUUAUUCUCUUCUACUUCUCCUUUUGGGUGAAUCUUCUCUUUUUUAUAGGGAGCCGUACUCUCAUUAGAGUAGUGUUCGGGUCUUCCACAAUUGUAGCAAUUACGCUCACGACUCGAAGAUCUUUUGUCAUUGUAGGACCUUGACUUGGAACUUCUUUCUUUGCUUCUAUUCUUGUAGAACUUGUUGAAGUUCUUCACCAUUAGGGUCUCAUUGAAGGCAUGUUUCUCACUUGAUGAUGUAGGAAAAUCACAUGAGGCUUUGUAAGCACCACUUGACUUGUUGUGAACCUCUUCCUUAUCCUUGAGUGACAUCUCAUGAGCAACAAUUCUUCCAAUGACUUCCAUUGGCUUGAGAUCUUUGUAAUUGGGCAUCAUUUGGAUCAAUGUGCACACGGUAUCAUAUAUUCCAUCCAAGGCUAUUAGGAUCUUCUUGAUGAUGUAUAUAUCGGUCAUCUCUUCACUUCCUAAGCCGGCAUUCUCAUUUGUGAUGAGAGCAAGACUAGAGUACAUUUCAGCGACACCUUCACCAUCCUUCAUUUUGAACUUGUCAAGAUGACUUUAAAGCACAUCCAAUUUGGAUUCCUUGACGGAGUCGGUACCUUCGUGCAUAUCAAUCAAAGUAUCCCGAAUUUCCUUUGCAUUCUCAAGACGGCUGAUUUUGUUGAAUUCUUCGGGGCACAAUCCGUUGAAGAGGAUAUCGCAAGCUUGAGCGUUGUAUUGUAGCAUCCUCAAUUAUUCCGCGGAUGCUUCACGAUUUGGUUCUCUCCCAUAGAAGAAUUCACCUUGCAAGACAAUACACACAAUAGCCCAAACGGCGGGGUUAUGUCCAAGAAUAUGAUUUUCAUCUUAUGCUUCUAACUAGCUGUCGGCGUUCUGGGAACGGGGGUCCCCAAACUAGCCUGCCUGCGUCGGAUGGCGUGGCUCCACCAGUGGCCUAGUAUGACCCAUCUUUGUCAACCAACGCUCAAGACCCUCACGAGGGGCCAAGCCUCGCGGGGCGGACGACACGAGGCCUCCUCAGGAACGGCCUCACCAAGCAGACUCGCGAGGAGGCGGAGAUAUCAAGGCAAGGGAUACCUCGCGAGGUUCCCGUGAUACAAGCCAUGACGACCAAGGCCAGGCGGGCGCCAGGCGGGCGCCAGCACGCGCUGUGUCCUCGUUUCCCCUUUGGUGCUAAGGGGGCAAGCGCAGGCGCGGAGUACCGAGGCAUCAAGCAAAGGUUUCCCUAUCGGUGCAACAAUACCGAGACCAGCAGGACGACGGGAUGGAGGUCAUCGUGGAGCCCAAGAUGGUGUUACCACCAGCGCCUUUGAAAGGCGAAGACCACCUUUAGUCAGGAUAGCGUGUACUAGCUAUCCCCUUUCAAAUUGGCCGUUGUUGGAUCCCUUCCCACUCAAUAUUUGGGAAGAGGACCAUGGCUUCUAUAAAUAGGACUAGCCACCACAGUAGAAGAUGAUGGUUCAUCCAGAUCGCCCUCACCCACGCAAGUUCGCCAAGCACAAGAACACCUUUCCUCAGGAGGCUGUUCUUCCCUUGUACUGUUCAUCAUCAGCCCAAGAGGCAAUCAACCACCACACACAGGAGUAGGGUAUUACAUCACAACGGUGGCCUGAACCUGUAUAAACCUUGUGUCUCUUGUGCUGUGAGUUCAUCGAGCUAGCUUAGGGAUCGCAGCGAGGCUGAGAGCGUGAUUCGGUAGGGGGAAAUCUUCGUGCGCACCCCAGUGUUCGAACCUCAAGGGUUUUGCCGGAACCCUAUAUCCAACAUAUGGCUCGCCAGGUAGGGGUGUGCCAGAGCUUUUCUUCCGUCGACCCAUGCUCCGCCAACACAAUGCUUUGCCCCCAUGGCGGACAUCGCGCCUCCGGCCCCGGCGACCGAUGAGAGUGCUGGGGCCAGGGGGCUCCGAGCCUUGGCCCCCGCCUUACGGCGGGUGCAGUGGCCGCCCAAGUUCAAGUCGGAGAUGCCGCCGCGCUAUGAUGGCAUGGCGGACCCGCUGGUUUUCCUGCUGGCAUACAAGGAGGCCGUCCUCAAGGCCGGGGUUGACGACAAGGUCAUGGCCAACUGGCUUCCCACGGCCCUCACUGGCAUCCCACGCGCUUGGCUGCUCAACCUAUCGGCAUCUUUUGUGGCCUCCUGGGAGGAGCUGCGCGACCUCUUCCUCGCCCACUACGCAACGCUGGUGCCCCCGGUCAUCGUAGCUCUUCUAGGUGGCUCGCAGGCGCCACCAUCAGACCGCCACGCCAAGCCGUUCUUUCGCCAGAUCAGCGCCGUCCUCGCGCGGCAAGGAGCUACCCCGGGUUGGGUGGCGCCCAAGGCCGACCUGACCUUCAACUCGGAAGAUCACCCGUCACCACCGCCUGCUCGGGUGCGCUCCCGAUGCUCUACACGCCCACCAUCUGCCAAGUGGCCGUCACCAAAACCCUCAUCGACGGCGGUGCCGGCCUCAACAUGCUCUUGGUGGAGGCCUUCAGCCUCCUUCACGUACCACUGAAGCGGCUCCGACCCAGCAAGCCCUUCUCAGGCGUCGGAGGCGGGUCCUCCAGUUCUCUGGGGCAAAUCCGCCUUCCCGUGACCUUUGACACCCACAACAACUACCGCACGGAGCUGGUCGACUUCGACGUUGCUCACGUUGGCCUCCCGUACAACGCCAUCCUCGGAUACCCUGCCCUGGCUCAGUUCAUGGCAGCAACCCAUCCGGCCUACAACCUCAUGAAGACGCCCGGGAGCAAGGGCGUCCUCACCAUAGCUGGAGAUACCAAGGAGGCUCUUGUGGCUCUCAAGCUUUCCCUCAAGGCCGCCGCGGCGGCGCAGCCCGCCGACGCAGAUGCCUCCAAGGCCAAGGAAGCUACACCGACCAAAAAGAAGCAGCUGUUCACCCAGGACAAGGCGGAGACAAAGCAGGUGCCAGUUGAGGAAGACGGGUCCUCGGGAGCCACCUUCACCAUAGGUGCCGGCCUCGACCCCGACCAAGAGGAGUCGUUGGUGAGGUUCUUGCGCUCGAACAAGGAGGUGUUCACAUGGAACCCAAGCAACUAGCAGGGGUCCCAUGGGAGGUGAUUGAGCAUCACCUGAAUGUGUGCCCCAAUGUAUGCCCUGUGAAGCAGAAGGCGAGGCGGCAGUCCACCGAGAAGCAGGCCUUCAUCAUCCAAGAAACCCGCAAGCUGGAGGCAGCAGGAGUUAUUCGCGAGGUUCGCUACCCCGAAUGGCUGGCAAACCCCGUUGUCAUGCCAAAAAGGGGGGAAAGGAACGCAUGUGCAUAGACUUCACCAACCUCAAGAAGGCCUUCCCCCAAGAUCUGUUCCCGCUUCCCGCAUCGACCAGAUCGUCGACUCCACCGCCGAGUGCAACCUGCUAUGUUUCUUGGAUGCGUUCUUGGGUUAUCACCAGAUCAAGAUGGCGGUAGAAGACAUGGAGAAGACAUCCUUGCUGACCCCAUGUGGGUUGUACUGCAACAUUUGCAUGCCAUUCGGAUUAUGCAACGCGGGCGCGGCCUUCCAACGGCUGAUGCACAUUGCCUUGGGCUGGUAGCUCGGGAGAAACGCCGAGGCUUACGUUGACGACAUUGUGGUGAAAUAUCGGGAAGCAAGCACCUUGAUCCAAGACUUGGAGGAGACCUUCGCGAGCCUACGCCAUGUGGACCUGCGAGUCAAUCCGGAAAAGUGUGUGUUCGGCAUCCCUUCUGGCAAGCUGCUAGGCUUCCUUGUGUCGCACAGGGGGAUCGAGGCCAACCCGGAGAAGGUCAAGGCGGUCGAAGACAUGAGUCCGCCGCAAACCCUCAGAGAAAUGCAUAAGAUUGCUGGUGGCGUCACCGUGUUAGGACGCUUCAUCUCCAAGUUGGGGGAGCGUGCCCUACCAUUCUUCAAGCUGAUGAAGAAAAAGGGCCCAUUUGAGUGGACACAGGAGGCCGACCAAGCAUUUGAAGACCUCAAGGAAUACCUGACCACCCCCCCCCCCAUGAUGGUGGUGCCGCGCCCUCUCAAGCCCCUGGUGAUCUACUUUGCCGCCACUCCCUACUCCGCCAGUGCAGCCCUGGUGGCGGUUCAGGAGGAGCACCAGGCUAAGGCCGCGUCCCGAGCAGCUACAGCCCUAGCCGGGGCAGCACAAUACCAAGAAAUCCUCGCGAAGACCACAGCAACCGUAGCAGGGGAGCAAGCUCAGUAGGAUGGUGCCCCCUGGGCUGAAGAGGCCCCGCCAAGCGAUUAGGCGCUGGGGGCUCCAUCAUCUCAGGAGGCGCCUCAGCCUCCGGAAGACGCAGGCCAUGAUAGCGCCCCCACCCUCGUCGAGCAUCCCAUGUACUUCGUCAGCAUGGUGUUGCGAGAUGCAAGAGCACAGUACCCCAUGCCUCAGAAGCUCAUAAUCGCGCUCUUGGUGGCCUCGCGCAAGCUACGACACUACUUUCAAGGCCACCCCAUCAAAGGUCGUCUCGGCAUACCCAUUGGAAAGGGUACUCAGGAGCCCCAACUCCGUAGGGAGAGUCGCCGAAUGGAACAUCGAGCUGCAGGCAUUUCAGUUCGAGUUCAGCACAACCAGGGUCAUCAAGGGAGCCGCACUUGCUGAUUUCGUGGCUGAAUGGACGGAAGCACUAGAGCUCAAGGCGGGCGAGGACCAGUCUCUCUCCCCAGGAAGUGAGGCACCAGAUGGCUAGGUCAUGAACUUCGAUGGUGCAUUCUCGCGGCAAAGCGUGGGGGCUGGUGCAGUGCUUACAUCCCCUACUCAGGACAAGCUUUACCACGUCGUUCAGCUCUGUUUCCAGCAGGGCGAGAAGGUCUCCAACAACAUAGCAGAAUACGAGGUCCUCAUAGCAGGCCUGAAAGCUGCAACAUCUCUGGGAGUAAAGCGCCUCGUCAUCAAGGGCGAUUCACAACUCCUCGUCAACUUCUCCAACAAGGUGUAUGAGCCGAAGGACGAGCACAUGGAAGCAUAUCUUGCGGAAGUACGCAAGAUGGAAAAGCAGUUCUGGGGGCUGGAGUUGCAGCAUGUGCCCGACGGCACCAACCAAGAGGCUGAUGACAUUGCCAGAAGGGCGUCCAAACGGCUGCCUCAGAAGCCUGGCAUUUUCGAGGAACGACUCUUCAAGCCGUCGGCGGCACCAUCACUUUCAAGAAUGGCACAGCCUGGGGAAGAACUCCCUCAGCCAUCUACCACAGGAGCCCCGGCCUGUGGCCCGACCUCGGGAGCACGCCUACUCUUGGUGCUGGAGCCUCAGGAGGGAUGCUGGACCAAGGAAUUCAAGGAGUACCUGACGCAAGGGACGAUGUCGGAGAAAGAGGAGGAUGCGGAGCGCGUGGCCCGACAGGCCACAACCUACUGCAUCUAAGACGGUGAGUUGUACUGGAAGCGGUCGAAUGGCGUUUCCCUACGUUGCAUCUCCAGGGAACAGGGGAAAGAGCUACUGGCCGACAUACAUGGUGGAGAUUGCGGACACCACUCAUCGUCACGGACCCUCGUCCGCAAGGCAUUUUGCAGCGGAUUCUAUUGGCCUACGGCACUCAAUGACGCGACCGAGCUGGUGAAGUCCUGCGAGGCCUGCUAAUUCCACGCCAAGCAGAUCCAUUAGACAGCUUAGGGCCUCCAGACCAUCCCGCUCUCGUGGUCGUUUGCGGUCUGGGGGCUGGAUAUCUUGGGCCCAUUCCCUUGAGCGCCUGGGGGCUACCGUUACCUCUACGUCGCCAUCGACAAGUUCACUAAGUGGGCGGAGGUGGAAGCCGUCUGCACCAUCCCAGCCGGCUCCGUGGUCAAGUUCAUCAAGGGCCUCAUGAGCCGAUUUGGGGUCCCUAACCGCAUCAUCACCGACAACGGUUCACAGUUCACUAGCAAUCUCUUCAAGACUUAUUGUGCUAACCUUGGAACGCAGAUCUGCUACGCUUCGGUGGCGCACCACCGGAGCAACGGCCAUGCUGAAUGCGCCAACACAGAGGUCCUGAGGGGCCUGCGGCAGGGGCUGGCACGACGAGCUCCAGUCCGUGUUGUGGUCCAUCUGCACCACCGCCACUAAGCCAAUGGGCAAGACCGCAUUCUCCCUCGUCUAUGGAGCAGAAGCGGUUCUCCCUCACGAGGUCAAGCGUUACUCCGCGAGGGUCCUGGCGUUUGAUGAGGCGCGGCAAGACACCAUGCGGGGGAUGGACCUCGUGCUGGGGGAGGAACGCCACUGUGAAGCAACACUGCAGGCGGCAAGAUACCAGCAGGUGCUGUAGCGGUAUCACUGUCGCAACAUCCGCCCUAGGACGCUCGAGGUGGGUGACCUCAUCCUGAGGCGGGUGCUCUCCAGGGAAGGGCUGCACAAACUCUCACCCAUGUGGGAGGGCCCGUUCAAGGUCGUCCACGUUUCUAGGCUUGGUGCCGCGCUCCUGGAGACCCAGGACGGGGUACCCAUCCCGAACGCGUGGAACAUCCAGCAUCCCCGGAAGUUCUACCCCUGAAGAAAGGCCCGGUGCCUGUGAAGAAGGCCUAGUUCAUGUGAAGCUCGCCGCCCAUGACACUCAUGUAAUGAUGAGUGGGGUUGUACACGCCCCGGAGUCUCAAGAGUGCCGCCCUUGGGCCUCGGGGGCUCCCUCCGACACCAAGUGGCAGCACUUAGCUCCGGGCUGGUGAGAAGACUUGAAGACUAGACUAGGUGUCGGACGCGGCUUUUCAUUUGCUCUUCACGAGGAGGGAUCUACAGUGUCCUCCUGAGCUCAUCCAGACCCCGUCUCACGCUUCACCGAAGCGCGGCGACGGGACGACCCGCUACCGCCUUCGAGGCGGGCACGGGGGCGUGGCGGUUAAUCGUAGCUACAGCUGGAGGAGCUGCCACCGGAGGAAGAGCCACCGUGGCUUGACGAGCCAUGGUCGCCGCCGGGAGCAAGUUCGCCUUCACCCUCAUCACGACCAUCGCCAAGACCGAGCACCUCGUCGUUGUCGUCAUUGUAUUCAAGACAACACCCAAUGCGGCGGCCAUCUUCUCCAAACACCCUCACGUAGAGGGUCGCGUCGCCAUCGUUCUUGAAGUGGAGUGUGCACCGCCUGCCCAAACCGCGCGCGCAGGCAAACGUCUGCCAGCCUCGGGCCAGGGUUGCGUUGCCGGCGACGGAGACCUCCACCGCGACCUAGGAGGCCCUGCUGCAGCAGCCGUCCGCCUGCAGCCAGAGCCUGCUUGGGACAGCGGCCGGAAGCUCGCCGAUGAAGGAGCACGGGAGCUGAAGCCAGUUGACGAUAGGGUUAUCCGACCACACGACGAAUUCCGGCAGCACCUCCGUCGAGUGGAAGCGGGGCCGGGGAGGCCACGCGGCCACAACGCGCCUUCCUCCACCAAUCGGGCUGCCUCGACAUGGGCGGCCCCCACCACGUGAAUAGCCACCGCCACGGCCGCGGAGAGCCAUGGUGGGGGUCACAAAGUGCUUACGAGGGCGACCGCAUCCGCACUUGGGCGGAGGAGAGCCAGGCCCUACCUGGCGAGCCUUCCCCUUCUCUACGGCCGAAAACCUCUUCACAGGCGCCAUGGGGGGGUGCUACAAGCAACGCAGCGAGGGAGGAGAAGCGAGUGGAAUGGGAAGAGAUGGGCGACGGGGGCCCUCACCCCUCCUCAUUUAUAGCCCAAGGAAGGCCAACCGUCGACCUCCACGAUCGCAGGUAAUGAUAACCCUUUUUGCAUGCAGCAGGGACUCAUCAAGUCGGGUAGUUGCCGAGGCAGUGUGGGGAAGCGGAGACGCCCAUGUACAAUCAGUCGCCACGCAUCGACCAAGGACGCAGGCUGUUGGGGCCCGCGGCGCUCCGCACUUGCCCUUUGGCUUCGCCGCUAAGCCAAGUCCGAGCGUGCCUUGGGCCCGGGGGCUACAGUCGGCGUUCUGGGAACGGGGGUCCCCAGACAUGCCUGGCUACGGCCCACGGCGUGGCUCCACCAGUGUACCAGUAUGGCCCAUCUUUGUCAACCAACGCUCAAGACCCUCGCGAGGGGCCAAGCCUCGCGGGGCGGACGACACUAGGCCUCCUCAGGAACGGCCUCACCACGCAGGCUCACGAGGAGGCGGAGAGAUCAAGGCAAGGGAUACCUCGCGAGGUUCCCGUGAUGCAAGCCAUGACGACCAAGGCCAGGCGGGCACUAGCGCGUGUAGUGUCCUCGUUUCCCCUUUGGUGCUAAGGGGGAAAGCGCAGGCGCAGAGUACCGUGGCAUCAGGCAAAGGUUUCCCUAUCGAUGCAACAAGACCGAGACCAGCAGGACGGCGGGACAGAGGUCAUCGUGGAGCCCAAGACGGCGUCACCACCAGCGCCUUUGACAGGUGAAGACCACCUUUAGUCAGGAUAUCUUGUACUAGCUGUCCCCUUUCAAAUUGGCCGUUGUUUGAUCCCUUCCCGCUCAAUAUUUGGGAAGAGGACCAGGGCCUCUAUAAAUAGGACUGCCACCACAGUAGAAAACGACGGAUCAUCCAGAUCGCCCUCACCUACGCAAGUUCGUGAAGCACAAGAACACCUCUCCUCAAGAGGUUGUUUUUCCCUUGUACUGUUCAUCAUCAGCCCAAGAGGCAAUCCACCACCACACACAGGAGUAGGGUAUUACACCACAACGGUGGCCCGAACCUGUAUAAACCUUGUGUCUCUUGUGUUGUGAGUUCAUCGAGCUAGCUUAGGGAUCACGGUGAGGCUGAGAGCAUGAUUCGGUAGGGGGAAAUCUUCAUGCGCACCCCAGUGUUUGAACCUCAAGGGUUUUGCCGGAACCCGAUAUCCGACACUAGCAAAAUUAGUACCAUCAAAGUAAGGACCUCUAUGGUGGUAAUUUCCCUCGCUAGACGCCAUACUCUCCUAGGUUAUGAAACCAAGGCUAUGAUCACCAACGCUAUGGAAAUCAAGGCAAAUGGAGACCAAAGCUCUGGUACCACUUGUAGGAUCGAAAGUAUGUCUAGAGGGGGGGUGAUUAGACUACUUGACCAAAUAAAAAUCUUGCCUUUUCCCAAUUUUAAGUCAUGGCAAAUUUUAGCAACUUAGCACAAGUCAAGCAAUCAACCUACACAUGCAAGUCUAAGAGUAUAGCAGCAGAAUGUAAAAACAUUGCACAUGAAGGUAAAUGGAGGAGUUUAGAGGGAGCAAACGCAAUAUAGACACGGAGAUUUUUGGCGUGGUUCCUAUAGGUGGUGCCAUCAUACAUCCACGUUGAUGGAGACUUCGACCCACGAAGGGUAAUGGCUGCGCGAUUCCAUGGAGGGCUCCACCCACGAAGGGUCCACGAAGAAGCAACCUUGUCUAUCCCACCAUGGCCAUCGCCCAUGAAGGACUUGCCUCACUAGGGUAGAUAUUCACGAAGUAGGCGAUCUCCUUGCCCGUACAAACUCCUUGGUUCAACUCCAUAAUCUUGUCGGAGGCUCCCAAGUGACACCUAACCAAUCUAGGAGACACCACUCUCCAAAAGGUAAUAGAUGGUGUGUUGAUGAUGAACUCCUUGCUCUUUUGCUUCAAAUGAUAGUCUCCCCAACACUCAAAUCUCUCUCACGGAUUUGGAUUUGGUGGAAAGAUGAGUUGAAUGGAAAGCAACUUGGGGAAGGCUAGAGAUCAAGAUUCUUGUGGGUUGAUUGGAAUAUCUUGGUCUCAACACAUGAGUAGGUGGUUCUCUCUCAGAAAAUGUAUGUUGGAAGUGUAGGCACGUUCUUAUAGCUCUCUCCAUGAAUGAAGAGUGGGUGGAGGGGUAUAUACAACCCCCACACAAAAUCUAACCGUUACACACAGUUUACCAAACUCGGUGGGACCGAAUCAUGAAACUCGGUCGGACCGAUUUAGUUCAAAAUGUGAACGUUAGGCUUUUCGGUGGGACCGACAUGUCAACUUGGUGGGACCAAUUUCAUUAGGGUUAGGGCAUAACGAAAUCUCGGUUAGACCGAUCACAUAAACUCGGUGGGACCGAUUUCUGUAAUAGGAAAACAGAGAGUUGGUCAGGCAAACUCGGUGGGACCGAUUCGCUCAUUUCGGUGAGACCGAAAUGUUACGAAAAGGAAACAGAGAGUUUCAUUGCGAACUCGGUGGGACUGAUCGCUUGUCUCGGUUGGAUCGAAACGUUACGAAGGGAAACAGAGAGUUUGCGAUCCCAUCUCGGUGAGACCGAGAUCCCUAUCGGUGAGACCGAACUGACUAGGGUUUCUGGCAGUGGAUAUGUCAAGUGAACUCGGUGGCGCCGGAUAGAUCAAAUCGGUGGGGCCGAGUUUGACUUUUGGUUUGGGACAUGAAUGGAUAUGAGAAAGUGGUUGAGGGCUUUUGGAGAAUAUCACUAAGCAUUUUGAGCAAGCAAGCCAUUAAGCAACACCUCAUCCCCUUUUAAUAGUAUUGGCUUUUCCUAUGGACUCAGUGUGAUCUUGGAUCACUAAAAUGAAAAUGUAGAGUCUUGAGCUUGAACCAAUAUGUGUCCUUAGCAUUUUGAGGGGGUCCACAUUCCUUGUCCAUGCCAUGCUAAUCAUUGAACUUUCUGAAAUGAUAAUCUUGAAAGAGCAUUAGUUCAAUGAGCUAUAUGUUGUUAGGAAUUAUCAAAACCACCCAGGGAUAGUUGCGCUUUCAUCUAUGCAUAGGGGUUGAUGCACGUUCUUGUCUUUUUUUCUCCGGUAGAAAUCUUGGGGCACCCUUUGAGGUUAUUUGUGUUGGAUUGAGUAUUAUGAAUCUGAAAUUGUUUGAUGCAUAUCGUAUAAUUAACUCACGGUUACUCGCGGGGACAUUAGGGUAUCUAGGUGACAUUAGAGUUGGUUGAUAUGUAUCAUAUGGUGUUAUUUUAGUACAAACUCUUGAUUAGAUCGAUCGGAAAGAAUAGCUUGCUGUUAUUCUAGGAUAGAUUGAUCGAAAGAAUAGCUUUGAGGUGGUUUCGUACCCUACAAACAAUUUCUUCUUAUGUUCUCCACUAGAUAAGAACUUUGGAGUGAUUCUUCGUUGCACGUUGAGGGACGGUUAUAUGAUCCAAUUAUAUUAGCAUUGUUGAGGGAUUGCACUAGUGAAAGUACGAACCCUAGGCCUCAUUUUCAAGCAUUUUAAUACCGUUUGUGCGCCGCUUUAUCAAUUACUACCUUGCUAUUUUUUAUUGGUCCUACUACAAAAUUCAAUAUCUACUAUCAUUACUACACUUGUAUCACCAUCUCUUCGCCAAACUAGUGCACCUAUACAAUUUACCAUUGUAUUUGGUGUGUUGGGGACACAAGAGACUUUUUAUUAUUUAGUUGCAGGGUCGUUUGAGAGAGUCCAUCUUCAACCUACACCUCCCACAGAUUGAUAAACCUUAGGUCAUCCACUUGAGGGAAAAUUGCUACUAUCCUACAAAACUCUGCACUUGGAGGACCAACACAUGUCUACAAGAAUAAAGCUGUGUAGUAGACAUCAAUCAACCAAGGACUAUCGCAUACCAGCAUGGUGCAUUUAUUAAAAGAAGAAGGCACAUGACGCUCCAAUAAUUUACGCAUAUCAUGUGAACGAAACAAAUACACAGACAUACCGAUAAUUGUCGAAUAAAGAUGGGAUGCCUUCCGGGGCAUCCCCAAGCUUAGACACUUGAGUCUCCUUGAAUAUUUACUUGGGGUGUCUUGGGCAUCCCCAAGCUUGAGCUCUUGCCUCUCCUCAUUCUUCUCAUAUCAAUACCUCCUCCAUCUUCGAACACUNNNNNNNNNNNNNNNNNNNNNNNNNNNNNNNNNNNNNNNNNNNNNNNNNNNNNNNNNNNNNNNNNNNNNNNNNNNNNNNNNNNNNNNNNNNNNNNNNNNNNNNNNNNNNNNNNNNNNNNNNNNNNNNNNNNNNNNNNNNNNNNNNNNNNNNNNNNNNNNNNNNNNNNNNNNNNNNNNNNNNNNNNNNNNNNNNNNNNNNNNNNNNNNNNNNNNNNNNNNNNNNNNNNNNNNNNNNNNNNNNNNNNNUAGUGCAUAUAAUAUAAAAUCCCAUCCUGUCCUACCAUAACAUUAUUGUAUAAUUAUAAGCAAACAUUACCCACUGUAUGAUAUCACAAUUCUAUGGCCCCAACUUAAAGGAGGCUCAACAAGAUUUCAAACAUAAGCAAAUAAUGAAACUACAACAGCAAUCUGUGAAAACAGGACAGUCUGUAGUAAUCUGAACAUCAACCAUACUUUUGUUCCUUUAAAAAUUCUGAAAAAUUAGGACAAAAUAAACAAUUUGCAUAGAAGUAUUGUGUAAACAUUUCAGAAACAUUCGACGUUCCAGUAAAAAAUUAAAAUUCACGCGCUACAGCCAAUUUUUUUGUUUUUUCAUUGCACAUACCAAACAAGCAAUCUAAUCAUCCUAAAGGAAAAUCUUGGCACAUUAUUUUCAUAAUACAAUGGAUUUGUACAAGGGGAUAAUUAUUUUUGUUGAAAAGUUUCUGUAAUUAAGAUUCACAAAGUUUCCAUGGGCAUGAACAAAGUUCAAGGCAUGCUCCCACUUUAACAAUGCUCAUCUCUCUCACUUUCACUUUUCUUUUUGAAAAAGUUUUAGGUUCCCUCUUUUUAAAACUAUAUAAAAGCACACAACAGAAUAAAAUGACUCUCUAAAACCUCCGGGUUGUCUCCCUGGCAGUGCUUUCUUUAAAGCCAUUAAGCUAGGCAUAUAGUGCUCAAGUAAUGGAUCCACCCGGAUCCCAAGGUAUAUCAAAGCCAAUCUUAAUUAACAGUGAUUUGUAAUUUAGUGUUGAGCACAAAGUAAUAUAUUUCAUGCAACAACAAAGUCUAACUCUCUUCCUACGCAUCGGCAUGUCAUAAAAGAACAAUUCACGCACAUCAAGUAAAGGCCAAUACAUAGCAUAAGUAGUUUCUUGCAAUUUUAUUGUAUUGUAAACAUAGAGAGGUGGAGAUGUAGUUCCUCUCUCGUAAUAAUUGCAUGUAGGAGCAGCAAGCACAUGCAUAUUAUAUCUAUCAAAAUCAUUAUGGGUAAUGGUAAAACGCAACACAUCAAUAUAAUCCUUAAUAAGAGCAAACUUCUCCGAUAUAGUGUAGUUGGGAGAAUUCAAAAAGAUAAUAGGACUAUCAUGCAUGGGUGCAAUAGCAACAAUUUUAUUCUUAACAUAAGGAACUAUAGCAAGUUCAUCUCCAUAAGCAUAAUUCAUAUUGGCAUCAUGGCCACAAGCAUAGCAAGCAUCAAUUUCAUCAAAAAGGGAUAUUUCAAACGAAUUCAAGGGAUCAUAGCAAUCAUCAUAGCAUUCAUCCUUCGGUAAGCACGAAGGGAAAUUAAACAAUGUAUGAUUUGAAGAGUUACUCUCAUUAGAAGGUGGGCACGGGUAGUUAAUCCGCUCUUCCUCCUUUUGUUCUUCGCUCUUCUCAUCAUCUUUUUCAUCUAAUGAGCUCAUAGUGUCAUCAUUUUCUUCUUCCAUAGUUUCCUGCAAAAUAUUAGUUUCUUCUUGGACAGCGGAGACUUCCUCAAUAAAUGCAUCAAUAUCGGCAUUGUAUUCAUAAUUCUCAUAGCAAUAUUUAAGUAUAGCAAAAAAAUUAGGCCUAUAAACAUCAUCAUCAAAAGCUUCAUACUUUUCAAACAAAGAUUCAGUUUCAUAAGCACCCUUAAAAGCAACAAAUUCUUAUAUUUGUUCCACAUUAUAGUAGUCAUAUAUACCAUUAGCAUAAGAAGCCAAGAUUUCAUUAUCAUUAAAUCUACAAUAAAAGGGAAGGUGUCGAGCCUUCAUCCUAGAGAAACAAGUAUAAUCAUAUCUUUGGCAUAAAUUCCAAGCAUACCAAUGCAACAUAUGAAUUUGAUACCAUAAUAGUUUCCCUUUCAAGCGAUAAUCCCUAAAGUAUUCACAUUGAUCCAACGUGUCUCCCAUUAUCAAGUUGAAUGGGGUUUUCUCAGGAUUGUCAAAGUAGUGUUCAAUAUUUUUCACAUAACGAGCAUCGAGGGUUUUAGGAGGUUCCCCAUCUCCAUGAGUAGCAGGUACACCUAUUUUUUUGCUAUUUCAUGUUCCAUAUCCAUAACUAAAGAUAGAUAACAACUUAGAAUAACAAAUGAAAUCUACGUAGUGAUAAAGCAAACAAGCACACACGAGAAUAUUCAGCCCAUGCUAUUGCUCCCUGGCAAGGGCACCAGAAAAAGGUCUUGAUAACCCACAAGUAUAGGGGAUCAGUUGUAGACUCUUUUGAUAAGUAAGAGUGUCAAACCCAACGAGGGCUAAAGGUAGAACAAAUAUUCCCUCAUAUUCUAUCGACCACCGAUACAACUCUACGCACGGUUAAUGUUCACUUUACCUAGAACAAGUAUGAAACUAGAAGUACUUUGUAGUGUUGUGGGAUAGGUUUGCAAAAUAAUAAAGAGCACACAAAUAAAAACUAGAGGCUUUUUAGAUAAAGUAACAAUUAAGUUAGUUCAACGAGUGUGGAAAAGUGGUGGUAGGAGUUGCGGAAUUGCCCCUAAGAAAUUUACUACGUUACUAGACCGAAGCAAGUUUUAUGUGGGAGAGGCCACUGCUAGCAUGUCACCCCUUACUUGGAACUCUAUGCACUUAUGAUUGGAACUAUUAGCAAGCAUCCAUGACUAACAUUCAUUAAGGUAAAACCCAACCAUAGCAGUAAGAUAUAUUGCCCCCCCCUUCAAUCCCGUAUGCAUCAAUUUCUAUGCUAGGCUGAAGCUGCUAUCACCCUUGCCCUCCAAUACAUAGUCCUAUCAACAUACAACUAACCCUAUGGUGUGAUCCACGUGCGCGCUCAUACGAUGGGCACCAAAGGACAACAACAUAACCACAAGAAAAUUAAACCAAUCAUAGCAAUUCACCAAUCACUGAUAGGACAACAAAAAUCUACUCAGACAUCAUAAGAUGGUAACACAUCAUUGGAUAAUAAUAUGAAGCAUAAGGCACCAUGUUCAAGUAAAGGUACAGUGGGUUGCGGGAGUGGACUGCUGAAUAUAGAUGGGGGGAGGUGAUGAAGAUGUUGGGGAAGAUGACAGAGGUGUUGGUGUAGAUCGCCGUCACAUGAUGAUUGCCCGUGGCGUUCCGGCGCCACCGGGAGAGAGGGGGAGAGAGACCCCCUCCUUCUUCUUCUUCCUUGACCUGCCCCCUAGACAGGAGGAGGGUUUCCCCUCUGGUCCUUGGCUUCCAUGGUGGCGGAGGGGCGAGAGCCCCUUCGAGAUUGGAUCUCUCUCUCUCUCUCUCUCUCUCUGUGUGUGUGUGUGUGUGUGUGUGUGUGUGUGUGUGUGUGUGUGUGUGUGUGUGUGUUUCCUUCUGUUUCUCCGUUCCCAGAUUCUGGACUUUCACCAUUUCUUAAAUUCCCGGAGAUCCGUAACUCCGAUUGGGCUGAAAUUUUAACAUGAUUUAUAUCCGGAUAUUAGCUUUCUUGCGGCGAAAGAAGGGCACAGACCGCCUUAUGGGGUGACCACAAGGGUCCAGGGCGCGCCCCUGUGGCUUGUGGGCCCAUCGAGCAUCGCCUCGCGUUGAUUCUUUUUCCCAAAAAUCACAUAUAUUCCAAAAAAAUCUCCGUAAGUUUUUAUCGCGUUUGGACUCCGUUUGAUAUGGAUAUGUUAUGAAACAAAAAAGAUGCAACAAACACAAACUGGCACUAGGCACUGGAUCAAUAUGUUAGUCCCAAAAAUAGUAUAAAACUUGCCAAAAGUAUAUGAAAGUUGUAGAAUAUUGGCAUGAAACAAUCAAAAAUUAUAGAUACGACGGAGAUUUAUCACUCUGUUCUCCAUGAUUAGUGAUUUGUUAUGCUGUGGUAUGCUUUAGUUGUGGUACGCUUGUGCAUGUGUUACUGCUAGUUUGAUCUGUCCAUGAUGUAAUGCUAGUUCGAUCUGUCCAAGAUGUACUGCUAGUUCGAUCUGUCCAUGUUGUAUUGCUAUUUCAUAUUGUCCAUGUGUAGUGUCUUGUGGUGUUGAUGACACUUACGUUUGUAGGACAUGACCACACAAGAGUUUAGUCAGGCCAUUGUGCUGUCCAACAGCCAGUUCCCGCCGUCCUACGUCGAGGACUCCCAGCCUCCUCUGGAACAGAUGCCUCUUGAUUCAGAGGUUUUCGAGGUGCCACCUAUGGUUCCUCUAUUUGUGCUAGCUCAGCCCAAUGUUGUUGCUCAUGCUGCUGCUGUAAAGGCAGCAGCAAAAGAGAAGAAGGAUGGCAGGGGGAACAACAUGAAAUGGCAGCCGUUCCUCUCCACUUUUGUGCUUAACAAGAUGUGUGAGAUCAUAGCUAGUGAGGUAAGGACUGACAAGGGCUUCAAGGAGGUGCACUUGAACCUUGUUGCAAAGCAGGUGUUCGACUUCUAUGGAUAGGAGGUCACCUCGACCCAGGUGUACAACCGCCUGAGGAAGUGGAGAGCGAGGUGGAUCACCGCGUCCAAGAUCAGAGACCUCAGCGGUGCUUCAUGGGACAAGGACACCUGCACGAUCCUUCUGGAGGCAGAGCACUAACAAGGCUACAUCACGGUUAGCUCACAAACCAUGCCAUUCUAACAAACCAGCAGUUCAAUCCUAUGAACCAUUGCCAUACUAACUAACCUCUCUGCCCUAUUUCUUCUAAAGAUCACCCAAAGACGCAGAGUUCCUCAACACCCCUAUCCAGAACCACCACCAGAUGCAGCAGAUCUUCUCCUUCGGGCUGGCAACCAGCAAGCAUGCCAUGGGCUCUUGUCAGCCGCUGGGCUCGCCGAUGCUGGAGUAUCCAGACACCCAGGAGUCAGACACCAUCAACGUUGAUGCUCCUGAGAAGGAUGGUGAGAAUGUUCAUGUGCUCGAUAGGAAGAGGAAGAUGGCGGGCUUCAUGCAGGAGGAGCUGAGCGUCUUCAGCGGCAUGACUGAGGCAGUGAAGGAGGUGGCUACCGCCAUCAGGGAGAGCAAGAGUGUGGACGUCCACCCUUAGCUAUACAGCGCCAUCAUGGAGCAGAUUGGCUUCAGCCCAGAGGCUCUCAUGGUUGGCUCUCAGCCACCUGCUGGACAACAAAGCCCAGGGUGUUGGGUUUGUUGCCAUGGGAGCAGCCCGCAGGGUGCUCUGGCUGAGGACAUGGCUGGGCAAGCACUACUACUAGUGCUGCUUCUGCUGGUGGCGACGGCGUGCAUGAUCCUCGACAGUGAUGGCGACAAGGACGACGAGGACGAUGAUGACGUAUAUUUUGUGUAGUUAGGGCUUGAAAGCAAUCUUAUGGUGUGUACAUUUUGGUGAGGUGGUGUAUACUAACACCUCACGGUGAUCCUUGCGGUGAUCAUGAACUUGCGGUGGUAGGAUGACACCCUCUUUUGGAUGUGGUGGUAGGAUGACACCAAAGUAGUGCUAGGUUGAACUUGCUAUGAUCAUGCAUGCUUACUAAUGCUCUUCUGCUCCAUUGCUUGCUCCUAUAGUUCUUCAUUGCUUGUUGUUUGUGUGUUCCAAUGCUUGUUGCUUGAACUUAUUGCUCGUUUGCACUGCCAGGACAAGUGAUAUGCGGUGUUCGAAGGUAGGGAUCCAGGGGUUUACAGUUCAUGGGAAGCUUGCAACAAACAAGUUUCAGGGUACAAUGACAGCAACAACAAAGGAGGGUUUAAGACUAGGUAGGCGACAGAAGAUGCUUACUCCAAGUAUGUGCGAGAGCAUUCAUGCAGCAAGGUUGAGGUUGGCAAGAAGGUGGAUCGAUCGUUAGGGCUGAAGAACUUCAUCAUGUUCGUCCAGUUCAUCAUCAUAGCAGUGUUGUGGCGUUGGUGUGCUCGGUGUGAUCAUGUGUACUCCCUCCGUCCGCGAAUAAGUGUACAUCUAGCUUUUGCUCUAAGUCAAAGUUUUAAAAUUUUGACCAACUUUAUAGAAAAUAGUAGUAACAUAUAUGACAUCAAAUUGAUAUAUUAUGAAAGUACAUUUCAAAACGAAUCUAGUGAUACUAAUUUGGUGCCAUAAAUGCUUUUACUCUUUCCUAGAAAGGUGGUCAAAGUAUUAAAACUUUGACUUAAAACAAAAGCUAGAUGUACACUUAUUCGCGGACGGAGGGAGUAGGGUGUAGUAGUAUUGGUAAGAUCACCAAGUAGGGUACAAGGUGAGCACAACUCUAUGCUCACAUGUAACCAAACAACGUGCACCCGUGUGAGCACAUACAAUGCGAGCAACCAAACGCGAUGCAUAGAGGCAUCGUUAUGAUGUAGGGAGAGGACAUGCAUGCAACCAAACUAAGUGUAGAUGUUGGUUUUUGGCCUGCAUUUGCUCAGCCAGGCCCAACUGGGACAAGUAUGCAAAUGGGCAAAAAAUGAUGCAGGUAACCAAACACGCCCAUAGUGUUGCGGCGCUAAACUAGCUGGGUGGUUGUGUGUGCUGUUUUGCACCUAGACGUGCGUGGUGGUGCUGGGCCUUGGUCGCAUGGCCUAUGUUCGAUCUGGCCGGACUUUGCCCCCAGAUUUGAUAGCCGAAGGCUCGUUGGCUGCUUGGGUGGUAGCCGGAUGUGCACGUUGGCUCCUCUAGCGGGUGUGUCAUCUAUGGCAGCGUUCCACUGAGACCAAAGGUGUGUUGGUCAUUACCUAGCAUGGACCGGCUGGGCGUUGCUGGGAAAUGUAGUAGAAAACAAAAAAAAC
rnacentral:lncRNA from 1 species